UAAAUGUCCCUCUUUUUUGGUUUAUGCUUAUUGCAACUACUUUCCACAACUUUUUGUCUCAACAAUGGAGUUUGGUACAUGUUCCACUGUUGUCCAAGGUUUAUCAAUUUAUCUACUAUAUACUUCUAUUAAGAUCUAUAUCAAUAGUAUGAAUUUAAAAUUAUAUAAUUAAUGAAUUCAAGUAGUUGGUUCAUUGUUUGAAAAAAAGUAUAUCUGUCUUUAAUAUUAAGGUUUAAUUCUUAAAUUCGUCUUUAUAAUAGUGUAGUUCGUGAAUGUGUCAAAUUAAAUUUAUAUCGUAUAAAAAAGUUAAUGAUUUGAUUGAUGAAAAAGUAGAUUCAGAUUUACAAAUUUAUUAUUUUUAUUUAGAUAUCAAAUUACAUAAAACUUAUUAUUUUUUAUACAAUUUUUAUUUAUUAAAUCAAAUUAAAUUCAUGACUCAAAUUAAAAUACAAAUUUUCUUUUUUAUCUUUCCUAAUUUUUUGUAUUUUUUAAAAGAUUUUUUGUCAACCAUGUAAACAAAAAUAUUGGAUCGCUUGUAACUGGUGAACAUUAACUGUUUCUUUCUCUCCCUAAUCUACGUUGAAACUAAUAAGAUCUAAGGGCAGGGCUUGGGGCGGACUAUUUGAGUUAAAUUUCAUGACCCACAGUUAAUGGAGGCUGCCUCAUUGAAUCAGCCCAUGGAGCAAACCUUUAAAGCCCAAUUCAUGUCCAGGUUACUUGGGUUAAAAUUUUUAAUUAGAUUACAGAAUUAAAAAGAAAAGAUAUUUGGAUGUAAUAAAUAUAAAAGAGGUAAGAGGACGUAGAUUUGAGUGUGUCAGACUUUAUUAGUCUUUAAGUAUGUUCAAGUUUAAGAAUGUAGAUUUAUGAUAUAUAAGUUUUUUUUUUCCAUUAAUUGUCUAUUAUGCUUUAGACUGAUUUGAUUUUAUAUUUUAAUUAGUUGAACAUAUAUAUUUAAAUUUAUAUAUAUUUAAAUAUUGCCUUUUCCCCAUAGAAUAGCACCAUUACAAUGGAUCAAAAAUGUUGAUGAGUUUGGCAUUUUAUGUGGUACAUAUUAAGGGAAACAAGGAAAUUUCUUAAAAAUUUGAAAUAACACAAAAGGGGAAAAAAGUGAAAGGUUUCAACUUAAAAUUCUCACUAAGAAAUUCAAGUACAUCAAGGGUUCCACCAUGCCAUAAAACAGAUGCACUUUGUGACAAAAUUAAACUCUUUGGCUUAAAAAUAUAAAGCUCAUUGAUGAGAGCAUUUUUAGUUACUGUUUUUUGGUUUUGGAUGAUACCAUUGAACUUUCCUUCACAUUUUCCACAAUGUGAGAUGUGAGCUUUUCAACUAUAUCAUAAGCUUCUUCAUGUUUCCCAUAUCACUGGAUCUUCGGAGAAUAGUUUUGUUCCUUUUUUCUGGUACAAAAUGAAUCAAUUACUUUUGAGCUACUUAUAGGAAGCUUCCUUGGAAAACAAAAUUUCUAACCAUUAGAAACAGUGGCAGCAUCUGAUGGGGCAGUUUUUUUUUUUGUCGACCCAAAAUGUUAUCGGAGUAUGUUUUGAAAAUUGGCUAUAACCUAAACCUAACAUUGAAAAUGAAUACUAUACUAAACUUCGUAUCGAUUUGUCACAAUUUUCGUGUAAAAAAUUAAAUAUAUCAUUAAUGCAUCUGAUAUAUAAUUUAAUUUUAAAAAAUUAUUUUAGGAAAAUGAUUCAAUUGAUUUUUCAUAUUAUUUUAAUUAUGUGUUAUGAUUUGAGUGAAAAUGAUAUAUAGUAACAUUAGUCAUAAUUUUAUAUUAUUAUCAUUCUUAAUUAAAAUAAUAUAUUUCCUAUUUUGUAAUAAUUCCGGAACCCCGACGAAACUGAUCAAUUUUGAAUUAUACAUGCCCAACAUUUCCCAAACCGGUUUUUUUUUUUUUUUAAAUCCUAUCGGGUUGUUGAAUACUUAAUUUUCUUUUUGCCAUCCCUGCUAAUCAUUAUCCAAUUAUAUAUAGAUAGAUUUUAUUACAUGAUGCAGGAACAGGACUGACAACAACAGAACAACAGCUAAGGAAAAAACAUGCUGCGGCAUUGGCACGUGUCUUUCUUAUCAUUCUGCUUCUUCCUCUUGUUUCUCUUCCUCUUUUUAUGGACUCCUUAUGAUGAAAUCUCUGCAACAAGAACGUUCUCCGUUGAUUUAAUCAACAAAACCUGCAAAACAUGUUCCGAUAAAUCUACCGUUUUCAACUACACGUUCUGCUCGGCAUCUCUCCAGGAAAUCCCAGUCAGCCGUACCACAAACCUUCAAGGUCUAGCAAUAGUUGCAAUGGAGUUAACUUUACAAAAUGCGACUCACACGCUUUCUGUCAUUAAAGAGUUGCGGAGAAACGAAACGUGGGGUCAUCCAUUUGCUUCGGCUUGCUUGAGGGACUGUGAUGUGCUUUACUCCGAUGGGGUUAUCACCCUGGUGGAUGCUGUUGCGGCGUUUUUAGAAGGCAAAUAUGGGAGUGCUGGUGCUUGGUUGACUGCGGUUAUGGACGGAGCGACUACGUGUGAGGAAGGGUUUGGGGAUAUGGAAGAAGCGUCGCCAUUGACGGAACAGAAUUACAGUGUUUUCCAGUUAUGUGAUGUUGCUUUAUGCAUCGUCAACUUGCUUGUUUCACAUGCAUAGCUUCUUAAAUCAUAAGAAUUACAGUCUCUGCUCCCUCUAGUUUUCAAUUAUAAGUCAAAUUCUAUGAAUAUUCCCUAUAUUUUAUCUAGGUUGUGGAGAUAGUUUCCAAGACUUUAAUUUGUCUAAUUUAUAAUCCACUUGAUAAUAGUUGGUUGCCUAUUGAUAUGAUUUCUUUAAUAUCUUAUUGAUUGCUGAAAAUGACAUGAUAUAACCUCUGCGUCCAAAUCUUUUAAACUUGGUUCACGAAGCCUUGCUGUGAGAUCGGAUUCAGCAAGGAAUUGUGUACAACUAACUACAGAUGGUUUAGUUAGAAUUGAAGACGGUUUGUUGUUGUUGAAGAAUUUGUAUGUAAUCAUAAUGGGGAGUGGAUUUUCGAUUUUAGCAUAUAUUCGGGCAUGUGCACGGUCGUUGGCGCUGAACUCUGGGGUAUUCUAGAUAGUUUGAAACUUACUCUGCAAUGGGGCUAUGGUAAUGAACUGAUUUAGACUGACAGUCUUGAAGUCGUUAUUCCUAUUCAAGACGUAUCUUUAGGAGGUUCUAAUUUGACUCUUGUUAGGAGAAUUCACCAACUUUUGUACUCAGUAAGACACUGAAAAAUUUAAUAUAUCUCUCGUGAGGAGAAUAAAAUUGCAGAUAGACUUGUCAAGAUAGUUCGUGAAGGGAGUUUUGGUCUUAGUCUGUUUGAAGAUUCUCUUUUAAAAAAUUUAGCUUAAUUAUCUUUGUAUAAUUAAUUUCUUAAAAAAAAAAAAGACAUGAUAUAGUAAAUGUCCAAAUCAACCCCUAUAAUUACAAUUUUAAACAAUAUAUAUUCAAAUAACUUACAAUUAGUAUAAACAUCAUAAAACACAAUCAUAAUAAAAAUAUAUUUAAAGAUAAAUUAGUUCUAAAAAAAUCUUUAUAUAAUAAAAUUUAAAUAAAAUUAAAUUUGAAAACAUUUAAUAUUCACAAUUGAAAUAUUGCCAAGAUUUUGAAAGGUUUCAACAUCAAACACUGUCACUCUAUGUAAUCUCAAAAACCUAUCAAGAAAUUGAUGAAGUAUGUAUUUUGACCUUAAUUAUAUAAUUUGUUGACCAAUAAAACCGGCUAAGUAGAAAACUAAUAAAACCGGCCAAGUAGAAAACUAAGUUAUAAAAUGAGUAAGCUUUCUUAUAAUAAAGAAUUUUAAUAUGUUGAAACAUCUAAAUAUAUAUAUUUCAAAGUAUUUACUGGAGUAAAUUUAAUAAUUAAUCCUCCAUAUUUUAUAAGACUAUUAUAAGGAUAGAUGUUGAUCACAAAUUAUAAAACUACUCUAUACUAAGAUAAAAAAUUGAAUCUUCAACCAAGAGAACUUUACCAUUUCUCUUCUUUAACUCUCGUAAUUAUUAGAUUGUAAUUAAUUGUGACUUAUUAAAAAGAUGAGAUUUUACCCCCAACUUUUUGGAAAAGAGUAAGUUGCCAACUUAGACCAAAAAUAAAAUUUCGGCUCCUAGUCUCUGUUUCCAAGCCGCAAAUUCAAACAACUUGCUAUGCCUAAGCCAACAAAAGAAGCCCAUCUCUUUCAACGUGUCUUUACUGGCAACGCAUCAAUGAUUUGAACACUAUCUUAUUAUCAGCUUAAAUCAGAUCAAUGUAUCUUUAUAUCUGUCUACUGCUUUUUCUUCUUUCCCAAUAACUGGAGAAAGAAAAAAGGCAUUUUAUCUCUCAAUUAACUAUACAGGUUUUAUUAUUAUCUGCAUCACCUUCAUGGAAGAAACUCAAACGGUUGAACUGCAAACAAGAGGUUAGUUAUGAAACACCAUUUGAGGAACAUAGUUAUUCCAUGCUUAUGUUCAAUAAAAUUGUUAGAACUGAAGCAAAAACCCCCAGUGUUCAUGUCUGCAAAUUUCUUUGUUUAUGUAAUAGUUGUUGGCCAGAACCAAGAUGAAGACAUCCCUUUUACAAAUCAGUCUCAACCUAAACAUUACAAGUGGUGGAUUCGUGUAAUAACUUACAUCCUUUUUCUUAUUUCUGGCCAAUCUGCUGCUAUUUUGCUUGGAAGAUUGUAUUUUGAUAAAGGUGGGAACAGUAAAUGGAUGGCAACAUUUGUUCAAUCAGCUGGCUUCCCAAUUUUGCUCCCUUUCUUGUUUUACUUCUCACCGAUUGCUAAAUCUGUCCCCGUGAGUGUUACUUCCGUCGCAAGGCGACCGAAGAUUUCGACCCUUGUUUUUCUCUACUCUGCUUUUGGCUUACUCUUGACGGGUGAUAACUUGAUGUACUCGUAUGGCCUUUUGUACCUUCCGGUCUCGACGUAUUCGCUGCUUUGUGCGACACAGUUGGCCUUCAAUGCUGUUUUUUCCUUCUUCCUUAAUUCCCAAAAGUUCUCUCCUUUUAUACUAAACUCUGUGAUCUUACUUACCAUCUCUGCUUCCCUCCUAGCAGUUAAUUCAGACUCCGAGAAUGCCUCGACGGUCUCCAAAGGGAAGUACGUGAUCGGAUUCCUAUGCACCGUCGGGGCAUCAGCCACCUACUCCUUAUACCUUUCACUGGUGCAAUUGUCAUUUGAAAAGGUUAUAAAAAGAGAGACCUUCUCCGCCGUCCUGGAUAUGCAAAUCUACCCUUCGUUCGUGGCCACCUGUGGGUGUGUGGUCGGGCUAUUUGCGAGCGGAGAAUGGAGAAGUUUGUCCAAGGAAAUGAAGGAAUAUAAAGAAGGAAAAGUAUCCUAUAUGAUGACAUUGAUUUUCACAGCGGUGACAUGGCAGGUUGCAUCAAUAGGUUUGCUGGGAUUGAUAUUUGAAGUAUCAUCUUUGUUCUCCAAUGUGAUUAGUACAUUGACUUCGCCUGUUGUUCCCAUUCUUGCUGUCAUAUUCUUCCAUGAUAAGAUGGAUGGAAUUAAGGCAAUGGCUAUGGUGUUGGCUAUUUGGGGUUUCCUUUCCUACAUUUACCAACAGUACUUGGAUGAUUCUAAAUCCAAGGUGAAGAAGAAGAUGAAGGCAAAUUCCAAUGAAGCUUCUUUGGGUCUUACAGGCCAAGUCUAAAGAUUUCAAUAUGCAAGUGAAUUGAGUCUGCAAAUUGAAUGACCAGAUUACAGAUGAGGGCCCAAUAACAACCCUACACAACCUAUGCUCAAUUGGAUCAAAUCUUAUGUUUUAAAGAUUCAUUCGGAUGGACUGUAACUAUUGAUGAAAGAUAUUUCAUCAAAUUCACAUAUGAUCAAGUAAACGUGUCUAGUUUACAAUUUUAUGUUCUUUUUUAGAAUAAAACAAGAAGCUAAUUCGUAGAAUCAGCCAAAAAUUACAAAACGGCAUGUGCCAUAUCAUGAAGCAUGUAUGACUUCAUUAACUAACUCCACAAACCCAAUUUAUAUAGCCAACUACAUCAACCUUAUUCAUGUUUAAAGGGUUAAGACAUGGUAUAUGAUUCUAUUUCAAGCAUAAAUCAAAACCACAUAGCGUAAGUUUUAUUUUUGCUCAAAUUUCGAUCUAUCUCACCAACAAUUGAUUUAUACCCACAAAAAAUAUGUAAAAAUUGAAACUUAAAUAUGAUAUUUAAUAAAAUUUUAUCAACUACUUGUAAAUUUAAUAACAAAAUAAUAAAUUUUAUAGAGACUCGUGAAAGAGUUUGCUCUCGAAAUUAAAUAACCUUCACCAGAGGGGUAAUGCAUAAAAUAUUGUUAACUUUUUUAAAAUGGAAAAAAAUACUUAUUUUCUUUUCAAGACCUAAUUUUUAAUGAUCUAACAUGAAAUUUUCGGCCCAAGCCCCUUUCGCGUCACCACCGCUCACAAAAUUCAUGAAUAUUUUAAAUAAAAGGAGCACAUGUCACAUAGCUUGAACUUAGAAUUAGUUUGGGCAUAAACACUUUAAACCAAAUAAUUUUAAAGGUUAAUUCCCAGAUUAUAAUUUAUAAGCCAAAAUAUUAAAUUAAUCGUUAAACUUCAGAAGCAGAAACCUUAAGUUGAAGUAAUAUUACAAUUAAGUCUUCCCGUUAGUUUUGAUGUUAAAGAUUUAACAUGCUUUUCUAAAUAUAUAUAUAUACUUAGAUUAGUAAAUAUUUUUAAUUAUAUAAGAUUCAAAUUGACAUCUAAAUUUUAUUUUAUACGAAAAAUAGAAAAGAGUAAAGAUUGAAAAUUUGUUAAUUGCUACGAUCAUAUAGAAACAUUUUUUCUUAACAUCAUGUUUUGGACGGAUUAUUUUUUUAUUGAAAAUUUUUCAUUUACACUCUUUAAAAUUUUUAAAAUUUUAAAUUAAUAAAGAUAAAAUUAUAUUUUUAACUCUUUACAAAUGAUAAAAAAAUUUAAUUUUUAAAAUUAUAAAGAUAUAAACUAUUAAAAUAAUAAAAUUAUAUUUUUAUUAUUAUAAAAAUUACAAUUUAAUUUUUAUCUUCUUAAAAAAUUUUUGAUCCAAAGUAAAAUAAUAUCUAAUAUUUAUAAGUGAAAAUCGAGUUGGAAUCACCGCUCCAUCCCAUUACCGGGAUCAAUAUCAAAGUUGACGGGUAGACUUACAAAAGGAUAGAUGGAAAAAAAUUAUAAUUUAGUCUAUAAUUUGAGGACUUCUAGUGAAAUUAAUCCUAAUUUUCAUAACCUAACAACUUUAACCGAAAGGGCCAGUAAUGGCAUUUAGACCUCACCGAAAAAGGAAGUCGAAAAAUUACGAUGCCAUCCUGUCCUGACAAGAAAAAUAGCAAAAAUUGAAAAAAAGCGUCUUUAUACGCAAAAAGAUAUAUAAUUUUUCCCCUAUCGAGUCUCUUCCUUUCUUGUUUAACAAAAAUCAUCUCAGAAAUUAAAAGAAAAAAUAUCAAUUUUAUUUUAUUACUAAAGCGUGAAGAUUCAAGCUUGCAAUCGAAUUCCUCAUUUGAAAUUCUGUAAGUGAUUGAUUCAAUUUGUUUUUUUCGUGCGAUGUUAGGUAGAAAUUCUUUAUAUAAUAUUUUUAAGCAUUGGAUUGGUUUUGAUUUUACUUGUAAAGAUCGUUUGCAUAAAUCAGAUGAUUUCGUUGAGAAAUUGUUUGGGAUUUGACGAUACCAAGAAUUCUGGGAACCCAGUUUUGUUUCCUUAGAAAACCCAGUAAUUAAACCUAGAAUUCUGUACAUUUAAGUGGUCUCCAGAAUUUUAUUAUAUAAAAAAAAUUUAUACUUUCUUCUUCUUUUAUAUAAAAGAAGCUACCUUUUUCCUGCUUUUUUAUCAGCAAAAAAUGUUUUAUUGUUAUUUUUCUUUCCAGAUAAAUAUUUCAGUUAUUCAUGCAAUAUGUUGGUUUAUUUAUUCAUAUAAGUCUCAAUGUGUUUUAUUUUUCUUUGAACAAGUUGAUGAAACAGGUAUUAGAACUGUAAUAGAGAGGAUAAAAAAAGAUCAUUGUUGAGGAUGGCUUGUAAAGGAUGCCUAGAAUGCUUGUUGAAGCUGUUGAACUUCUUGAUGACUCUUGUUGGUUUGGCAAUGGUUGGAUAUGGGAUCUACUUGUUUGUUGAGUACAAAAGAGCUGCUGAUGUUGCCAUGCUUUUGUCACCUGUGGGCACUGACCAAAUACAGCUCGGUCGGCCCAUGCUCAUGGCCGUGUCUCUUUCGUCUAGUAUUUUCGAUAAUCUUCCAAAAGCAUGGUAUGAGUUUUUUUCGCAUUUCUUUAUUAGUUUAGCAAUGCUUGCAUUAGUUGAAUUAAAAAUGUUAGUGUGUAGAACUUUGACGAAAUGUCUACAGUUAGUUGAACUUUGACGCACUGUGCUUGAAAUUGAGUCAUACUAGCUUGAAUGAAAUUGGCUUCUGAGAUCCCCAGAUACUGGUGGGAUCAUGUUGUUAUGUACUGGUACCUAAUGGAUUGGAGGGAUCAUUAUCGAAAUGAUUUUGUGGCUUCCUUCUAGGUAUUCUAGUCUUGACAUUUCCAAUAGGAUGGUUAGGACAGUUUCAAGGCAGUGAGAGAGCAAUGCUAACCAUUUUUUUUUUGUCUGGGUUUUGAAAGACUGGGUUGAUCUUGAUUCAAAGUUCAAGGCCAUCUAAGCUGGAGCUUGAGCAGCUGUAAUUUGUGUGUCAUCUUCUAUCACAUAUUAUGUUUUCUGGUUGUGAUAUGUAUGCUAACCGCUUAUUUUCUCAUGGUCGUGUGUAUUAGUGAAGGAUCUAAUGCUGAUUAUUAGAUGUAUUUUACUUGUUAGUGUAUAAGUUUCAAAAGGAAUUCAAGUAGUUAUUUAACUGUCCAAUUUCUAUUCCACUCACAAGUCUAUAUGAAUUUUCUGCAUGUUCUCUUGUGUUUAACUUUUCAAUUUCUAUUUUUGCAGGUUUAUAUAUUUGUUUAUUGGUGUAGGUGUGGUUCUCUUUUUUAUAUCUUGUUUUGGUUGUAUUGGAGCUUCGACGCGGAAUUUAUGCUGUUUGAGUUGUGUAUCCUAAUUACUUCUUCGGUGUUUUCCACAAUGGCAAUUAAGAGAUAGAUAUUGUGUAACAUCCUAACAACAUUAUAAUCCAAUAGUUCAUAAAUUGCUAAUUUUUUAAUCUCCAAUCUUUUUUCUUCUCUAUAAUUAUGAUUGGUUUCCUUAAGGCAACAUAGUAUUCACUGUUGGUGGUCUUGUUGAUCUUGGUGGAGCUGGGAUGUGCUGCUUUCAUAUUCUUCGACAAAAGCUGGAAAGAAGUAACUUUUUCUUACUUUUUGGUCCCUUCUCUCCCCUAUUUAAUUGAAGCUGGUGUUUUUGGUUAUCUAAUUAAUGCUAAUUUCUUUAGGAACUCCCGACGGAUAAAACAGGAUAUUUUGAUAUGAUAUAUCAAUUUCUGGAAGAAAAUUGGAGUAUUGUCAAAUGGGUAGCUCUCGGAAUUGUUGUCUUAGAGGUAAGUGUAACAUGACUGUGACCCUAAUCCCGAGGAUUUGAAAACUACUUCACAUUCAUGAACAAUCACGCUCAUUGACUUGCAAAAAACUGAUCAUUUAGAAUAUGCUAAUUGUAUUUUUUUUUCUCAGCCCUCAGAAUUUGUUUCUUUGUAUCGUCAGUUAGCUUUGGGGAAUAUGAUAGGAUUCUUUGGGAUAACAAAGCAUGGAAUAGUCUAGGACUUUCCUAUCCUUACUGAGUAGAUUAUCUGUUGCAAAAAUAUCUAGCAUACAAAAAGAGAUAAAAUCUUAUUUAAAUUCCAUAAUCAAGUCUUAAAGUUGAAAAGCAUUCAAUUUAAUUGUACUAAAGCAGACUUGAAAACUUCAUCAGCUAUCAUUAAUUGGGAACAUUGCAUGUUUGUUUCUUUCCUGUGUGGAUUAUGGUUAAGAUGAUUGCAUAUGACAUUAUAGUCCUAGAUAACUUUUAGGAGGCUGUUGGGUUAUGAUUCACCAAGGAAAAAAUUAGUUGAUAAAUUGCAUUACAAGAUACUUUAGAUGCAUGAAAAAGGAUAACGAUGUGUUUUAUGACUCUGUUUUCUGCUGGAUGAUAGUGGCACAGAAAUUGAUUGAUGGAUGAAUUCUGAUAUUUAUUGCUUUGAACUGAAGUGACUUUGCUUGGUACUUCUUAUACAUCAAAAUAAAGCCUUGAAUCAAUUGAAAAAUGACACUGAUUUCUCUCUUAGAAUAACAUCUGGGCCGAUAUAAUUUCUCUGGUCAUUAAUUCUACCGAUUUGGGUGUGAAAUCAACUUUAACUUGCAGGCUGUUAUUUUCUUGUUAGCCCUUAUGGUUAGGGCCGCCAAUGUACCUGCUGAUUAUGACAGUGAUGAUGAGUUCAUUGCACCAAGGCAACAAAUCAGACAGCCUUUAAUCAACAGGCCACCAGUUCCAGCUACAGGUGUUCCUGUUACUGGCAGCCUUGAUCAACGACCCAGCAGAAAUGAUGCUUGGAGUGCACGAAUGAGGGAAAAGGUGAUUUCUGUUCCAAAAAUUCCUUCUCUUUGAUGUAGACAUAUUGUUGUCCUGUCUGGUAAAUUUUUGGUUAGACCAAUUCUUACAUUGUGCCUUGAUUUUUCUCGAGGCUUCAGAUCUUGUCACUGAAUCAAGUACUCCACUAAACAUCAAGGGUUUAGGAUUAACAUAUAGUCUAUAUAGUAAAAUCUUGAAUCAAAUGUUUCAUUUACGAAGUGUAUGUGUUUCCAUAGCUGAUAUUUCCGACCAUAAAUGCCCUAGUGCAUAGAUUUUAUUAUGUUCGUAGUGUCUGUAUUGGUGUACUCUGAUAUAAUAGCUUCCUUUGACCCCUGUUAGGGAUGGUCCAAUUGAACUUGCCGCCAACUACCAACCAGUCCAGCCCCUACACAACCACCUGUUUGCUUCUAUUUCCAUGUUUUGUUCUCCUUACUGUUUUCCUCUGUAUCAUCUCUUUUUUUCUCAACCUUUUGCUUUUGUUCGUUGCUCUAAUAUUGUUUCACUGGAUGUAUAUCAGUAUGGUCUGGAUACGUCCGAGUUCACCUACAACCCUUCGGAGUCAAACAGGUACCAGCAGACAGCUCCGCAACCAGCAGAAGGAAGCAGCCGUUGCACCAUUAUGUGAUGAUCAUCUGGUUGGUUGGUUGGUUUCCGAAGGAAGGUUAUUGCAUUGUCGAUGGAGUGACAACUUCAGAUUUUUCAGAUGAUGGUCUUAUUUUGUUUUUGCUAUGUUCUCAAGAAAAAUGAAUGAGUGGGGAACACAUAAAGCUCCUAUAGAUUGUGUACAAACUCAGAAGGAAGGUUAUUGCAUUGUCGAUGGAGUGACAACUUCAGAUUUUUCAGAUGAUGGUCUUAUUUUGUUUUUGCUGAGUUUGUACACAAUCUAUAGGAGCUUUAUGUGUUCCCCACUCAUUCAUUUUUCUUGAGAACAUGUGUGUUUGUUUCCAAACGCAUAACCACCAUUUUGUGUGUAAAAUUUGACUGCUACGUUAGGGUUUGGGAAUGAGUUGAAUCCUGAGCCGAAUGCAACUCUGCCCUUUACUUAUCUGUGCCUUCUCAUUUAUGAAUGGCAGUAAGCAGCAAACUUGUUAAUGGAGCGAGCUUCUGUACGUAGAAUUUUAUAAUGCGAAAAACUGGCAUAUAAUAUACUUGAGUGUUGAAAUUAUGCAUGCAUGCAUGCAUGCAUGCAUUCAUACAUACAUUCAUACGAUCCAAAUCAAAUACGAUCCAACAUGAGUAAUUCUAGUUGCUACUCCACAAACAUUCAUAUAUAUGUUUAUUAUUAUCCAAUAUUGAAUUAUCAUAUGAUAUAUACGAGCCAUUGGGGUAAAGGCAGUGUAGUAUUAGUAGUAGAUGAAGUUUUUAAUAUAUGUAUAUAUAUAUGAAAACAUUUUCACGUGAAAGCUGUAAUAUAUGUAUAUAUAUGUGAAAACAUUUUCACGUGAAAGCUGUAAAAAGUGAUGGGAAACUUUGGAAUAAGAUUUUAAUGAGUAUAUAUAAGGAAGCAACAUGAAUAUAUGCUGUUCAAAUUGCUUUAUGAUCUCGUGGUUGUGAUCACCAUGAAAAAGAUGGAAUUAGAAAGCAAUGGAGGAAAAAGAAAGCUUUGCAGUACUUUGAAGGUGGCAAUCACAUCUUUAUAAAAUCAUAAUAUUCUUAUUUACUUGAACUCCAAGCUUAACUCAUUUCUUUUAUAUAAUCACUUUUAAAAGGUUGUAAUUAAUAAAUUUGAGAUUCAAAUGCCAACAUUUGCAUCCUUUUCUAUUGGGAGACAAUGAUCUCAUAAACAAAUAUUCUUACUUUAGGAGCUAAUACCUUCUUUGACUUGAUUUUGUUUAUCAUAGCAUGCAUCUAUCUAGAUAGGCAGUCUUUAGACAAACAAGUAGAGAAGAGAAUAGAUACUUCUGCAAAGGAUCAAAGAGAGAAGAGGAAUAAUAAUUAUUUAAGGAAUAAAAAAAGGUUAAGCCUAUGGUUUAUUUAUUUAUUUUUGCCUAACCUCAAGUAUUAUGUAAUGGAAUUAUUUGAUUAGGACUUUGAGCUGGCCUGACAUGUUUUCCAGCUAUAAUAUUGAGAAUUUAGUACUGUUGUUUGGAAACUAAUGGAAUCCCUUAACAGUAAAACCUUUAAGCAUAAUUUCAUCAUACAUAUAAAUUAUUUAUUUGUCUAUCAUGUUUUUUUACAUCAGAAUGUAAACAUAAUUAAGAAAAAAAAAUCAUUUUAAGAUGAACAGUUCAAAUGGAAGAAUUUUUAAUAUUAUUCUCCCUGUUCUGUCUUUCCUGUUUACUUAUGUUCUUAUUCUUUGCAUGGCUGUUUUCCUAAUAAUCAACAACCUUCAAAAUAAAAUAAGAAAAGUAUUUUUUAAUUUACUUUUUAAGUGAGAGAAUAAAGCUGAUGGGGCUUUUUAGUUGAAACCCAGUGAGAGCCGUCCAACUUCACAUAUGGGUGCGGUGAUCAAACAUUAUGUGGUCCCUUAUGUUACAGUUGAUGAAUCAAAUAUUCAAAUAUCUACUAUAUAUUUUCAUGUAUAACAAUAUGGUUUACUCUAUAUUGAUAUAAUUUAGCUCAUGUUAUAGUAUAUUUGAUUACUCCAUUUGGCUCACACUUGUAUAUUUGAGGAGUUCAUUGUCAACCUCCAAUUUUGUUUAGCUACCUAUUUCAAGUUCUAUGGUGGGAUCUAACUCUAACCAAAUCAUGGUUGCUGAUGGAAUGGUGAUCAGUUUUUCUUUGUUCUUUGCCUUUUUUUUUCUUAACAAUUAUAGUUUCUUUUAUCAUUCAGUGUUUGUGGUUGUCUUAGAACAUGCCAUCUGAAUCCAAGGUUCACUUUGAUGAUUUAUGUGAUUGGUUUAGGACUAAAAAUUCUGUUGUCUUAAAAGUGACAUUUUUUUUCUUUAGUUUUAUGGGUUAUAAAUCAAAGUUUCUAAAGCCCUGUUUUCCCAGAUUUUGAUGUAAGAUUAUGAAGACUAGGAAGGGAAAGCGUUCUGAGGUAAAGAAAAAACUUCGGUGUUUCGUGAAUUUAUCUAAACUGCAAUGUUUUAAUGAUAAACAUGGUCAAUUGUGUUCUAUUUCAGGCCUUUUGGCCAUCCAUUGUGAUGAAGAAAUGGUUGAAUAUAAAGCCAAAGGUGUAUGAUUUUAGCGAAGAUGAGGUCGAGACAGAAACCGAAACCGAGAGUGAAGAUGAUGGUACAUCAUAAUAUAUUUAUCAUUAUCAUAAUCAUAUAUUUCCUUAGAUUUUCAGUUUCUUCAAUGAUGUUUUUCUGCAACUCCCACUAGCUUAUUCCAUUAAAGAUUCAAAAUUGAAUGGUGGUGAGGAUUAUAUCCACAGCACACUGCAAAACCAAGAUUGCAGCAGCCAAAUUUCAGGCAAUUUUUUUAGUUAAUUACUAUGAAUUUAUGUUGUUAUCUACUACUAAUUUGUCAAUUCUAAACUUUGUUUCAUAUGGUUUUUCUUUUUGAUGUUUUUUCAUUUAGAUUCAUCAUCUACGGUUUAUCGGUUAAGACACCGGAGGGGAAAAUCAGAAACUCUGCGCGUACAGUACAUAAACACAAAGGAUGUGAGGUUUGCCUGCAAGAUUGCUUAUGCUUGAGAGUGUAAGCUUUAACUUAAGGUGUUGCUAUUUUAAUUUCUUAUUUGAAACAAAUCAUGGUUGCCUAUAGGGUGACAAUAGGCACUUGGAAUGUUGCUGGAAGACUUCCAUGUGAUGAUCUUAUCAUUGAUGACUGGCUUUGCACCGAACAGCUAGCAGAUAUUUACAUUAUCGGGUGAGUAUUUUCUUUCCCCGUCCAAUCUUAUACAUGUGUUCAGCACAUAUCCGUAUAUGAUACUCUGAGUAUUUGCAGGUUCCAGGAGGUGGUCCCUUUGAAUGCAGGAAAUGUACUGGGGGCUGAGGAUAACAGGCCAAUUCCUAAAUGGGAAGCAAUCAUUAGAAGAACUCUGAACAAAUCUUUGGAACCUGAAAGCGAACAUAAAUGCCAUAGUGCCCCAUCUUCUCCUGUGUUAAGGACGUGUUCUGUUGCAGAUGCAUUAGCAGAUGAGAUAGCUGCCCUGCCAUUGGAGUAUUUGGAGACUGCUAAUGACUAUGUCUGGCCUGAACAUUCAUUAGAGGAAACCCCAAAACUGGGGACAGCAUUGAGCAGCUCAACAAGAAUUGGGUUUAAUCUGACAGACAAUUUCACCACCUGCAACCCUCACGAUGUGGGGUUAAAAGGGAGCCGAUUGAGAAGAUCACACCAUAGUUCUGAAAACUUGGGUUCAAUUUGUGUGCAAGAGGAACAGAAGCUGGAACAAGUUGUUGAUUCCUUCUCUGAGAUAUCUGAUGAGUUUUCUGAAGAAGAGGAUGAUAGUUUCUUGGAAGCAGCAAUCGAGGAACAUGGAAAUGAUAGAGGAAGGUCAAGGACAAAGUAUGUGCGAAUAGUGAGCAAGCAAAUGGUUGGAAUCUACGUAUCUGUAUGGGUGAGAAAGAGGCUGAGGAAACAUGUCAACAAUUUGAAAGUCUCUCCUGUUGGUGUGGGUCUUAUGGGCUACAUGGGAAACAAGGUACCGUUACAUGCCUCUCCAUACUUUAAUGUCUUACAAUGUGUGGUUGGCUUCAUGGCAUUUUGCUUUUUGCAGGGAUCUGUUUCUGUUAGCAUGACUCUAUUCCAAUCCAGGCUGUGCUUUGUGUGUUCGCAUUUGACAUCAGGUCAUAAAGAUGGAGCUGAACAAAGACGCAACGCCGAUGUGUACGAAAUUAUCCGACGAACACGUUUCUCAUCUGUCAUUGAUACAGAUAAAUCACAAACAAUCCCAUCUCAUGAGUAAGCAAAAUGUCAACCAAUUUUCUUAUCAAUAUAUUCAACCCGAAACAUUAAUGUGUGCCAAUAGUGGCCUCUGUCAACAGUCAGAUAUUUUGGUUUGGGGAUCUGAACUAUCGUCUUAGCAUGUCGGACACUAAGGUGAGAAAACUUGUUGCUCUAAAGCGCUGGGAUGAACUACUCAACAAUGAUCAGGUCAGUAUCACAAUAACUUUGUUAAUGGCUUCAAGAGAAACGAUGUUAAUGGCUUGGAUUCUGUGGCACAGCUUCAUAAUGAACUGCAUAGCGGGCACGUUUUCAAUGGAUGGAGAGAAGGGGUCAUAGGCUUUCCUCCUACCUACAAGUAUGAAAUGAAUUUUGAUAGAUAUGUUGGCGAGAACCCUAAAGAAGGGGAGAAGAAGAGAUCUCCAGCAUGGUAAGUAUGAGUUUCUACAAAAGUACCCGGACAAGAAACCUAUGUUGCUCUGGCUCUUAUUUUUCCAUAUCUUGACAUGAGUACUGAGAUAUAACCCUCUGAAAACCCUUUACAAACAGGAAAAAGCUAAGAAAAAGUGAACAUCCUUGUGUUGGACACAUAAAGUGUCCAACAUUCACACUCAAAUCUGAGUAAUUUAGCAAGAAACCAGAUAUAAGAGUUUCGCAAAGUUUCUGAAAGCACAACAAACCUGGCACAGUGGUAACUGAUAAUUAAUUAAGUUCUGUAUAUGCUUACCUUGGUAGGUGUGAUCGUAUACUCUGGUAUGGUAAAGGCAUAAAACAACUUUCUUAUCAACGAGCAGAAAUAAGACUCUCUGAUCAUCGACCUGUCAGUUCAAUGUUUUUACUCGAAGUUGAAGUAUUGGACCAUCGGAAGUUGCAGAGGGCUCUCAAUGUUAGCACUGCUGCCGUCCAUCCUGAGAUUUUCUUUGAUGAAAAUGAAGACUUAGAGCUUUAGCAUAAACCAGGCACUCAACCUCAAGAAUCAAAGAGUUACUAAGCAAACAAGUGCCUUGACUGUUCUGCUCUGUGUCCAGCAAGUGUUGAGACUCCCUUCUUUUCCUGUUCUGUCACCACAUUUGCAUUCUCACACUACCCGUCGCUGUGUUCCAUGUCGCUUUGCCAUCUUUGCCUCGCUGUGGAUCAUCACCUCCAACAUAAAUGUAGGACUUCAUUCAUUGACUCAUCAAUUGCCCUCCAAAAGCUCAAAAUAAAGUAUAGCUUGCAGAUAAGUUUUGUACUUACUAAUUUCUCAUUCCCUCUAGUCGAACCAGUAUUUCGACCAUCUGCUCUUAGGCAGCAGAUUUUGUUGUACCAUAACAGUUGUUGGCAUACCAUAAUCUGCAUGCCUUUGUUUACGAGAUCAUUCUUUUUAUAAAAAGUCUUUUAACGAACCGCAUUUAACAAAGCCAAUAUCAAAAGUACAAUGAGAGAAAGAUCAUAGUUUCAAAAGAAAAUAAAAGGAAAAAUAACUGGAACGAAUGAUAGGGAACCUCAUUUUACUUUAAAAAAUUGGACGGCGUCCUUACAAGGUAGCAAGUAGAAACAUGUUUCCAGUCUUCGGAGAAAGCAAAACAGAGAGGAAUUAUUCUCUGUCAUAUUCAAUGAGAACAGACAGCAAAAUGAGACGUAUUAUGAGAAUUAAUGUACAAGGAACAUGUUCUCCGGAGUAGUUGUACACUGCUCUAACUCAGUUUACAAAAGUUACAGAUUAAAAUCUUUCUCAGCUAUGAACAAGAAGGUUUGACCUGAUUAAAGAAACUAAUGGCUGAGAGAACAGUAGUAUGGCUAGGAACUUAAGGUGGUGAUCCAACCUCGGGAUACUGAUGUGCCUGCUGAGAUUCCUGGGAUAAAACGGGAUUCAAGAAAGAGAAAGCAACUGAAAACUCACAACUUUUAAAGCAUUUUCCGAGCAAUUACUAGUUACAUAUUUUUAUAUAUGUGCAAAGGCACAAACACUGAAAUGUGCAAGAGAGGCCAUACCGCUCGUGAGAGACGUGAUUGAGACAGAGAACUAAGCUGGCUGCUUUCCAUAUUUUCUAGUAACUGAAUUACCGUUUUCAGAUGUGGAACACUGCAAAAUGAGAAACUAAAAUGAGCCAAGAAAAAGGGAAACAUAGUUCUAUAGCUCAGUGAUAACAGGCAACAAAGGGAAUUCACUACUUUUCUGCACAAGACUAUAAUUCACGGUAUAGUCAGUUGAAAAAGAUGGAUCUAUCUACCAAAUUAAGUAAAUGGCUUCUUAAUUGAGUGGCAUUAACAAAUGUCUACUUCACAUUUAGGGUUUAAAUACCAUCUUGUGGAACAUCUCUUGUACACGUGUCAGCAAGUUUACAUCAUUCCUAAAUCCUAAAUUAAAUUACCAAACCUUUUUCCCUGACAUGUAAUCUACGAUAACACAACAACUUAACAACUUUCUUGCAAGUAAUACUGGCUCACUGAAUGAUGCCGAAAACUACAUGCCAUGCUCAAACAGACUAUAACUGACGGUACACCCUUGAUGCACAAGAUUUCAACCUUUGUAAUCCAUUAUCAAUAUGAGCAUCAAGUGAUGAAAUAGCCCUAGGCAUCAGCUCUAACAUCUGCAUUCAAUGAAACAGAGAAGACAGAUCAAAUUACAAAAGUUUGCAAUUGAUACUGUGUGUAGGUAUAUUUAUUAUAGCUUGGAAGUGUCAUAUACCUGCCCUGUAUUUUUUAUUGUAGGAGUUUUGGCCAACAGAUUUUUAGGAAGUUUCAUCAAUUGGGUCUGUAGAUACAAAGUAAUCAAAGAUAUCACGGUGAAAAAAAAAUUGAAAGAUGGAUUCAAGUGGCACAGGCACAUCAAAAACCACGUAAAAGAAAGUUAUCUUUCUCUAGGCAAGAGUUUCAGGAGCUCUUAACUGAGUUUGCAACGUUGGAAGACCUAUAUGAUAAAAUAUGGACAGGAUUGUAUGAAGGCAGAUUCUUCAAGGAGUCUGUCAGAUUACUGUAAUUUACGAUUUUGCUCCCUGCCUGUGGUUAAACUAAAAAUACUAUUCUAAAUUAUACCUCAAACGAGAGCUAGACCUGAAAACUGGUCAAAUUUUAAGAAAAAGAAAUAGUAUGAAUCAAACAUAACAACAUUUGUAGAUUAUGCCUAUUGUCCACAUCAAUGAACCUAUAUAUAUAUAUAUACUAAUGAUACAAAAGAAGCUGUUUUUCUUUUGAGCAAAACUAAGGCCAAAAUUUAAAAAAAAAAAAAAAUCAAAUGAUGAUCAGCUUUUGUCUGCUAACAUUAACCCAUAAAAGUUAUCAUUCUCUCAGUAUCAAUCUAACAAAACCCAACCCAAAAAUUCAGUACUUUCAUCUCCAGCUAAGAAUCUAAGGCACCCCAUACUUAAGAUCAAACUAUGACAUCCAAAGGGGGAAAAGAAAGAGGUAAUUUUUCUUUGUCUUUGGGCAAAGAGAAUUGAUUAAGAUAUUAAAAUUCACAAUCAGAAACAGGAAAUUAAAUGGUUUGUUAGAUAGCUUAUGCCAGUAUUAAAUAAGAAAAAGAAAAUACCCGAGAAGGAGAAGACUGUUGCAUGAGAUGAAGGAGAUUAGAGGUGGACAGUACGGCCUGGGAAAUCUGUUCAUUCACUGUUGAUUUUGCUGUUCCUUCUCUGCUAUUCGUCCCCGUCACGGUUCGACCUCCCCUUCCAGCUGUUGCCAUUUUCUUCAACAAACCAGAAACCUCACAACAAAGCCUAAAGAAAACAAAAAAAAUAUGUACUCCAAUUACUUCUGUUGUUAGGAGAUAAAGCCCAAUACGAGUCUCUGAGCCCACUCUAGCCUUGGAGCUUUUCCAUUUUUGAAGAAGCAAAUACCCACUUUCAGCCCAGGAACAAGGAGAUUAUUUACGUUACAAAUGUUAUCUUCGUCUUUGCUUUGAUUAUAUAAGAUUCAUACCCUGAAAACAGUUUCUUCGUGGUGAAAAUUCUAUCUUUUUUUUCUUUUCUUACAGGUUACUUUAUUAAUGGCAUUUAAAUGACCAACAUUCUCUCUUACGUUAACCUGCAAUAAAUACACAAUCCCUUUAACUUGUCUAAUUUUGUAACAUAUACCACCAUUACUGAAAGCUCCUUCAACAAUUUUAACAACUAGUAUAAAUUUCCAGCAUAAAACCCAUGCAACAAAACAAAUCUAUCCUUUGUUCCAAUAAACCUGAAUGGGUUAUUUUAAACAGCAGCAGCAGCAGCAGCAGCAGACCCUUUUGCUUAUCCUAGCAUUGGCAUUUGCCAUAGCUAUCACACCAGCUUUGUCGGUUGUCGGAUGGGAUGAAAGACACAUGCCAGACCCAAGGGUGUGUUGGGCACAAAUCAACAAAGCAAAUGGAUGCGAGCAUGAAAUCUAUGCGUCCUUGGUUAAAAAGAAGAUAAAGCUCAGCUAUGGAUGCUGUGAAGCGGUUCAGGGUAUGUCGAGCAAGUGCAAGAAUUGGAUGUUUAAUCAUGGAAGGUUCAGCCCUGAGUUUGGUGAUCAAAUUAAAGGGUAUUGUGCUACUUUGGGCGUCACUCUUCCACCCAGUUAUCGAAUUUAUUACCCUGACAAAACUCCCCCUGGUCAUAUUGGCUAUGGAGGUUAAAGGAUUUUUGAGUAAUUGUUUAAGAGCUGAAAAAUAUAACCAAUCUUGUUUAACAAGGAAGAAGAAGGGUUUAUUUUUAGGAAGCAGAGAUGAAUAAAUUCACCUUUAUAUAAAAGGGUGACACGUUAAAAUUUAAAUACUAGUAUAAUAAUUUCGUGAUUCUUUUUGUUAGUUCAUUAAAUUUGGUGAAUUGAAGAUGAUGAAAUAUUCGAGAGUAGAUGAUAUAUUUUAUAAUUUUAUAAUUUUAUUUUAUAUUUUAGAAAAGUAAAAAAAUGCAUUAUUAUAUAUUAAUUUUAAUAUAAACUACAUUAUCUAAAGUUGACCUGUAUAAGGUUCAGGCUAUCUUUUAGGCUCGAAAGUACGCCCAAAAUUUAGGAAGAUUUGAAUAAAAAUAUUAUAUCCGAAAAAUAAGUUUGGAUAAAAAAAUUAAGCACAUUUAAAAUAUAAAACUAGACUUGAAUUUGAACAAUUAAAGUCUAAACUUAGCUCAAUUCAUUUUUAAAUUUAUAAUACUUUAUAUUAUAUAAUUUAGAACACAUUAAAAAAAUAAAUUUAUGCUAAAUGUAUAAUACUACUCUACUAUAAACAUUAAAAUAAAAUUGACCAUAUAAAAAAUUUAAUAAAAUAAAAAUAUAUAAAUUUAUUAAAUAUUAAAAUAAUAUAAUAUAAAUAAUUUUUUAAUAAAUAGAUGAAAGUAAAAUAAGUUUAAGUUAAUUUUUUAUAAAUAAUUUAGCUCGAAUUCAACUUAGAUUUCUAUUACAAAAUAAGCAAGUUAAUACCUAUACUAUAAAAAAUAUAAAAUUAUUUUUUAUCUUUAUUUUAAGGAAAAAAUUAUUUUCUAUCUUUAACGAAGAAAAAAACUAAAUUUCAAUUAUGUUUUUUUAACGAAGAGGUAAAAUUUCUAGAAAGUGGAAACGUGAAUGGAGAUGCAAAGAAGAUUAAAUUGUAUUAUAAUAAUUUAAUUAUUUAUUAAUCAGGUGGGGGUCAAAAGUGUAAUUUCCUUUAAAACAGAGGAUAUUCAAAGCUUCCAUUUAAGACCAAAAAAUGGAGGAUUUUGUUCAGACACAGUCAAAUUAUCCAGUUUUUUUUUUUACCAUCCAAAAAAGGUACCAUUUUUUCGAUAAUUGUUUUACGAUUUUACACCCCUUUGGAUUAUUUAUUUUCUGUUUUCUUUUUCACAAAUUUAUUUCUGUAAAUUCUACUAUUGGCUGAUACAAUGAUCCUCGUCCCGUGAUCAUCUUAACUGCUUUUUUUCCCGUUGGUUCAUCGGAAACCCUAAGGAACCGGUUUUUCUAAAUUCUGUGAACCCCUAUAUUUCUUCUUGUUUAUUGAAGCCAUGAAAAGUUUAACCAAUCAAAAUAUUGUAAUACUAACUGUUAGAGUAUGGGUUGAUAAAUAGGAGGUUUCUUUUUCCUUCUUUUUAGUUGAAGGGGAAGGCAGGAUGUUUCCCUGGUGAUUCAAAAUUCGUGAGCUUGACGGGAGAACUGAUGUGGGUAUUACGGGGAAUUUGAACUCAUGUUCUUUUUCUUUUCACAAUAAAUUGCUGUUUGAUCUGCUGGGUUUUAAGUUUUACUCUGUAAUUUGAAAUUUAUUUCCAUUGGAGAAUGUGCUUACUGCAAUCUUACAUUUAGAUUCUGUUGUUAGCUGUGAAUAAAAGCUUUAGCAUGUCACUUUUAGCUGAAAAUUCUUUCUAUGAUAGGUAGAUGAAUUUCAGAAGGUGGGGAGAUAUUUAUAUGUAUAUAUAGAACUUUCAAAUUUAUGCCUAUUGAUUCUUAGCUCAAUUGGCAUUGUUGCUAUCGAGGUAGUGGGUUCAAGCACGCUCAAAUGUGUAUUAUUCUUUGACUUAAGGGUUUGGGGGUUAUGGGUUGUAUAGGAAUUGUAUCAAAAAGGGAACUUUCAAAUUCACCCUUCUAUAGGGAUCCGACAAAUCUAGGAAUUUGAAAGUGAUCAUGAAACACUGCCUUGUUUAUUUGCUGCCAUGAUUUUGUUUUCCAAAAAGAUCUCUAUUUGAAGUUUCUUGCUUAUGAAUCCUAGUAAUUUGGUUAUCCAAGUUCUUUCUCAAACUCUCUCUUGACACCUUGAUGACGGGUUGUGUGUAGCUGGACUUGUUAUACCUACUUUAGCUAUAAUAGACCGUUUUGAUCGAUGUUAUGUUGUUUCUUAUUUGUAUGAAACAUGUGAUUCUGUAGUGAUAAUUCUUGGUAAUUUAUCCCAAAGGCAAGAGAUGUGCUCAUAUACGGGUCGCUACUUUUUCAGUGUUGAGAUUAACAGAGAAAUAACACACCAAUAGGCGUGUGGACUCAGAAAACUAGUUUUGGGGGCUUAAUCUUAUCUUAUAGAUGUCUUGUAUCUGCCCAUCUAUGAAUUAGAUUUGCGGUAUAUAGAAUUGUGAAUGGAUAAGUCAUGAGCUGAUGAGAUAAAAAAAUGUACUUAUAUACAUUGAUAAAAUGGCCGCCUAGUCCACAAGUUAGCCCGAACAAUGCAAGCAUGCAUAUGUCGUUCGCUUUCACUGUCCCAACUCCUAAUUUAGUGUUUCCUCUGAUGUUAGAUCGGGUCUAUGUAUGAAAUGUGUCAUUUCUGAAUGUAAUUGAAUGGCAAAAUGAUGUUUCAAAUGACAGGAAUCUGUUCAAGCUGUAUAUGCUUUACCGUUGUCUUUAUCCUUUAAUCAAAAUAAGAUUCAAGCUUGGUUUUCGAUUGCAGGAGAAAAUUGACAUUAUAUGGAUAGUAAAGUACCGUCUGAAAAGUUUACUCAGGAGCUAGCUCGCGAGUUGCUUAUUGCGAUAUCUUAUUCUGUACCUGAUACCGACCCAAAUUCAGAUCAUGCAUUGAAAAUCGUAGAUGGCGCAAAUGGCACUGUGGCUGCAAUCGACAAGGCUGAAAAAUAUAGGUCUGAACUGAUUUCGAUAUCCGAUACGUCUCCUGAUGCUCAAGUGCCUUCUGUUGUGCUUGGGAACCAUGCAGGUUAAAGGAGACAAAAUUGUAAUGGAGAUUUUAAUACAUGCAGUGGCUGUUAAUGAUUUCUAGAACUGAAACUUGUUGUAGUGUUGUGUGAUUUUUACACCUAAUGUGGAUUUGUGUCGCUUGUGAUUCUCUCCAUAUCAAUGUAAAUAAGGAAACAUACUUUUGUAGAGACCAUGUUGUGUUAAAAACUCAAAUUUCUGAACCUGAUAGUCUUCUCUGCUACCUGCUGAUUUUCAUCUUCGCACUCAAAUUUUGUUUAUUUUGUUACUUGGUAACCAAAUUUCUUCUGUCUUCAGAUUCUUUCUUUUGUUAUUGACCAAAUUUAAAUUCAAAAUUUCUUUAAUUUUCAAUAUCAUCCAUUGUGGUCCAGUGGUUAGGAUAUCUGGCUUUCACCCAGGAGACCCAGCUUCCAUUCUUCUGGCAAUAUGUUUUGUAUUACUUAUCCAAAAAAUAGGGACAAUAUCACAUUUGGGACUUAUAUUUUCAUAAAAUGUUCAAUGUGGUACUUAUAUUUUUUAAAUAAUAAUUGAAUUAAUGAAUACAAAACUUGAAUUAAAAAAAAUAGGGAAAUUGGUGAAAUUACCUUAACUCAAAGAAAAAAAAUAUAUGAAUAGAUUAGUUCUUCGGUGACACGCUCCCUGUUUUGAUUUUGAUUUUAGCUCACCCAAAAAAUUAAAAGAUGAGCUCAAUGGCUAAAAACGAUUAUAUUUUAAUAAUUUUUUUUUGAAAUUUUCAGAAUUAGAACUAAAUUGAUAAAUUUUGUAAAUAUUGAGGGUUAAAUUUAUUGAAAUUUUUAAAAUUUGAACAAAAACGACAAAUUUUGUAAAUAAUGAGGACUAAAUUAUUGAAUUUUUUUAUGUUUAAAAUUAAAUUGAUAGAAUGUAUAAAGAUUAGAUAGCUAAAUUUGUUAUUAGACUAAUAAAAAAAGCCCACAUCAUUUUUUCGUCACUCUAUCUCAUCUAAUGAAAUUAGAGAGAGUGUGACUAAAAUAUUUAAUUUCAAAGAAAUUAACGAAUACAUCAAAAAAUUAGUUGUGUGACUAAAAUAAAACUAAAAGCAUAAUUCAGUAACUAUUUUUGUAAUUUACCAAUGUCUUGAUAUUGGGUCCAAAUAAUUAAUGAAUUUAUUCAACUUUCAUUUUUAAUAUUUUUAAAUAAUGCUAAUUGUUUAGAAUAGGAAAGCAACAGCUAACGAAGCCAAUAUAGGCCAAUAAAUUUCCUUUGGGCGUCAAGGUCCACGGUUUUAGCGUAGCAUAUACAACAACUUUCUACCUGAACUUAUGAGUUAUUUAUUAUUUGUUUAAAAUUUAAUAAGAUUUAGAUAAAAAUAUGAAUUUAGGUAAAGUAAUCGAGUCUUAGGGUUUAUUUGGAUGAACGGCGUAUUUACUUACAAUUAACAUAAAAAUAGCAAUAGCAGUGAGAUAAUAUAUUAUAGCAUGAGACAAAAAGAAAGUUAAAUGUAGUGUACUAAAAGUAAACGUACAUCCAAAGAGACUAUUAGACAGGCAAUCUUAAGCAUGAGUUUAAUCAGAUUGAAAUACAAAUAAAUACAAAUAUUUUAUUAUUAAUGAUUAUAAACAGUGUUAUAUGUUUAGUAUUUAUGCUGUUUUUAAUCCAUUUUUUAAUGAUCAAUAAUUAUAUUUUUUUUUGAUGAAUGAAACCUCAUAAUAUAAAACGUACAUCCAAGCCCCUGUAAAGGCGUAACAAAAAAUUGAGUACUACCAUUAUUAUUAACACAUAUUAGCUAGAUUAUCAGCUUCUUUAUUAUAACCUCUGGAAUCGUUUUGUAUCAUUCAUAGUGACAAUUUAGCUAAAUGUAGAUUAAUUCUUCUAACUAAAGUGAAAUUCAAUACUUUAGUAGCACUCGCUUGAAUAGUUUGUACCGCCUUUAGACUGUCUGAAAAGAUAAAUACUCUUUCAAAUCCCUUAUCAAUAGCAUCUAAAACAUAAAUUUUGACAACAAUUCAGCAUAUAAAAUAGAAAAAAGCCCUACAAGUCGAUUAUAUCCAAGAACCCAUUUGUUGUAUCUGUUAAGAAGAAUUCCCCCAAUUGAGGUUAAAUCAGAAUAAACUUGCAACACCCCAAAUUUAGCCUAGACAUUACGGCCGAGUUUGGAGAGAUUACAAUAGCUCGUUAAGGAACUUUUGAUUUAAUCAAAUCAAGUGUGCGUUUCAAAAGCAUAAAAUUUGACAAAAUUCUCAGAAACGUUUAAAAAAACUUAAGUUUGGAAAACACUUACUUUAAAACCAAAAUUUGAAUUCAAAAUUGUGUGUUUUGAAAAUAUCUAUUUUGGCAAAUCAUUUCCAGUUUUAAGGAAAAUAUUCGUUAAAAACUAUUUAUUUAUUUACAGAAAAAUAGUUGAGUGAUUACUUAAUUUUGCAGCGAAAAAUGUUCAAAAUAUUGGUUUGAAACCGAAUUCUAAUUCGAUAAAUCGUAUAAUUUUGCAAUUUCAUUUUUAAAACACCAAAAAAAUCGACGGACAAACAAAAACCAAAACCAAGUCUAAAAACAACCUUCUAGUCCAAAAAGUCUAGAAAAGUUAAAAACAUAAACCAUCUCAUUAAAAUAACUGAGAAAUAAUCUGAACUCCCGUACGUCGUCUGAUCUUAAACUCAAUAAUUUUCUGAAAAGUCAGAGAUGAAACAAAGGGGUGAGCUAUAAAGCUCAGUGUAUAACUGAACUUAAACAGAGAACACGCAUACCAUAAUAUAUAAAUUAGAGUUUCACUAAGAGUUUCAUAACGAUCAAUUGAGCAAAAUUAAGAAUGCUUUUCAAUGCGGUACUUUUUUAGAAAAACAUAAUGUAAUUUUUUUAGAAAACUUUCUACUCAACUCCGCCACACACCAAAAUAAAGUUCCUUAGAACUCAUCCAACCUAAUCACACUAACAGAUAAUCAUGGACAAUGCCACCAGAGUUGCAAUUAAACUGCAGAUCAAAUAUACGUGGUCAAACCAUCAUAUUGUAGCAAAAUUGCCAGAACAGAUGUGUGUGGUCAAGCCACCAUAAAUGCAAUUAAGUUGCCAUAACAGAUAUGUGAUUAACCCACCAGAUAAUGCUAAUCAUUAAUAUACAAAAUAUAAUUAUUUGUAUUAUGCUUAAAAUACUGUUUAUAUAGAUUUUUAAUUUAAAAUAAUUUUGGAAAAAAUAUGUAAAAAGGAUAAGAAGCAGGUUUGGCGGGCUUUAGUAUGAGCAGCCGGUUUCAAUUAAUCACUAAUGUCUUACGCGUUAAUUAUGCAAAAUUUUGGUCUAAAUAUGUUUGGUAAUCAUAUUGAAUGUUUAUUUAAUGCAAAAUUUUCAAUAAAAACAUAUGAAUAAGAUAAAUAUGUAAAUAACUACUUAUUAGACCUAAAAACGAUAAGUUUGACUUUAUUUUAUUUUUUAAAAACUUACAUAAAUAACCUAUCUCUUUAUUUUAAAAAAUUAAAUAUUUAAUUUAUCAUUUUAAUUUUAUCUAAAAACAUAAAAAGUAAUAUAAGAUAUUAUAUUAAAAUUUAAAAUUAUGAAAUAAAUAAAUUUCAAAGUAGAGAUUUACUAUUAUAUAAACAACAUAAUUAUACUUGAAAUUUCAUUAUUACUAGCGUAUUAAAUAGUUUUAUAAUAUAACUAAUUUUCCUUAUUUAUUUAUACAUAUGUUUUAAUUAAAUUACAUUUAAAUAUUUCUUAAAUUUUUCCCUAAAUUUUAUAACGUGUCAUUAAUAAUAAGAUAAGGAAAUUAAAAUAUAAUAAUAUAUAAUUUUAAUUUAAUAAAACAUGAUAAUUGAUAUUAGAUUGAAUUAAAUAAACAGUAUUUUGAAAUUAUUUUUAUAAUGUAAAUAUAACAGUAGAUUGUGUGAAAUUCUAUUUUUAUAUAUAGUUUUAAACUUAAUUUUAAUUAUUAAUUAGUAAAUAUAGGUUUUUAUAUUAAAUUUAAAUAUUAUGACCACUAAAUAAUUUAAUAUAACAUUUUUAUAUUUUUAAAUAUCUAUUUAUAUAUAUAUAUAAUUGUAAAAAAUAAAAAAAUUAUAUAUAUCAAAGUUAGAUAUAUAAUUUUAAUAUUUAUGGGUGCACUUAAUUAUGAGUUUUGUACUAUAAAUCAGAGCUCCUAUACUUGAAAACCCAAAACACAGAGAAGUGAAGAAAUGGAGUUAGAUUUGUGGAGUAUUGCUAUAAUUGUGGUAACAUUUGUUGUUUCAUUUGGAUUCCUUAAGAAAGCUUAUGAGAGGUAAAUCCUUCCAUAGUUUUGGUUUCCAGUUAUUUUUUGUUUCAAUUUUUUUUAUUCCUAUAAUUCGUCUUUCUAAUUUAAUUAAACUUAAACAAACUAUUUCUUUCUAAAAUAAAAUAAAAAUAUCAAAACUAAAAUCCAAUAUUACAAAAAUAGACAUGAGUCAAAUAAUAAUCUAUUAGGGAUUCUUUUCAAUAUAUUUUUCGACAUAAUCACAAAUUUAGUCCUUAAUAUUUUUAUUUUUUGUCAAAUUAGCCUUCAUUUAUUUUUAGCUAAAUUUAACCAUUAACCUUUCAAAAAGAGUCUAAGAUGUUAAUUUUUUAACGACGUUGGUAUGAAAAUCCAUGUGGUGGUUUACGUGUACUUUAUGCUAACACGACAUUAUUUGUUCUUAUGUCAUGUUAAUAAAUAAUUUAAAAUUGUAACAAUAUUAAAAAUUCAAAAUUCAAAAAAUUAGCAUGAGGUACAUGUGGGCUGCCAUAUGCUUAAAUGUUUAGCAUUUUAGUUAGUAUUUUUGUUAAAAAAAUCAAUUUGACUCUGUUUCAAAAAGUUAAUGAUCAAAUUUGACUCUUUUUAAAAUGUUAAAGACCAAAUUUAACUCAAUUGUUUUAACAGUUGAUUCAAAUAGUUUUUUUGGUUUAACUCAACCGUUUCAUACUAUAUCGCAAGUAACUAAUUUUUUUCUAGACGGACACCCCAAUUGAGAAAGCGUUCAAACUAUCAUCUCUUCUUAUUGAUUGAAAAGAUUUGGGUUGUACUUACUUUAACAUUAAGGACAAAAGUUCAAUUCAAAUCUUUAAAAUAUCUUAAAAUAUUUGAAUUAAAUGUUUAAAAUAUUAAUAUUGUUUUAAUCAAUUCUUUUUGUUAGUUUAGACGUCACUUUAUGCACAUUCGAAUAUUACAUGAAACAUAUUUAAAAUACAUUUGACUUAAAUUUGAAAUAUGUAUCUGACAGGAAGAUAUGAGCAAUAUAAUAUUGAAACACUAAAACAACAAUUAAAAUAUUUUAAUAUAUAUUAUUAUUUAAUGUAACGUUAAUAUAAUUUUUAAAUAAUUUUUUAAUAAUAUUUUAAUGUAAACUCAUUUUUAGAGCAUAUCGAAUCAAAAUUUAAAAAAAUUGAUUUAAACAUCUUAUAUAUAUCUUACCUGAACCCAACCCAACCAUGACAGCUUCUCAUGUCAUCAGAACUAAUAUUAUUGCACAUCAAAAAGGACCAUUAGAAUUUUUAAGUGAUAAUUAACCUUUCACUAGAAAAUUUAAUGAAUGAUAAAAUGUGAACAGAUUAAGGCAGCAGCAGCUUAAGUCCCUCCCUCCAGGUGAUAUGGGAUGGCCAUUGAUUGGGAAUACGUGGUCUUUCAUAAGAGCUUACAAAUCCCAAAACCCAGAAUCUUUCAUCAACAAUUUGAAGAAAAGGUCUCUUGCCAACCCUGCUUUAAUUUAAUCUCCAAACUAAAAACCUUCUUUAAAGGAAAAAGAACUAACAUGGAAGCAAAUCCAGGUACGGUAAAUCAGGGAUUUACAAGACCCAUUUGUUUGGGAAGGCAAGCAUCAUAGUUUGCAGUGCGGAGUUAUGUAAGAAAGUGUUGACAGAUGACAAUAACUUUCAAUGGGGCUACCCUGUUUCAAAUCUGAUUCUGGGUAAUGUGCCAUUCGACUACAUGUCUAGUCACAGGCGAUUUCACAGGCUAGUGACCACGGUUCUCAAUCAACACCAACCCCCUUCAUCGCAUUUAGGGACCAUUGAGAAAAUCGUUAUCAACACACUGGAAGAAUGGAGUAAGAUGAAGGAAGCGAUCCUUUUCGUUCCUGAGGUGAAUAAGUUUGUGUUCAAACUCAUUAUAGCCAUCUUUCUUGGCUCUGGAACUGACGAUAAUCAAAUUGCAUCCAUGGAGGAGUAUUAUAGAAAAGUAUACUAUGGAUUACAUACCACUCCCAUUAACAUCCCUGGUUUUGCAUAUCAUAGAGCAGUCCAGGCAAGGAAGGUGCUGGUGAAUAAGAUUCGAGGUGUAUUGGGUGAAAGGAGAGAGAGGAGAUGUAAUGACCCCGACCCAAACACAGGCAUAAUCGACUUUUUGGAGAAAGCUGAUUAUGAGGAUGGUAGACCUAUGAGCCAUGAACACCUUGUUGUUUUAUUAAUCGGGAUCUUCAUUGCGGGUCGUGAAACUACAUCUCGAACGGCUAUAUGGGCCACCAUCUAUCUCCAUAAUCAUCCCCAUCUGUUGCACAAGGCCAAGGUGAAAUGGGAUUUUGGUCUUUUACCCAAAACAACUCAUCUGUUUUAACUUUUUUAUUGGAUUUCAAAUUCCAAUUUUUCAGGAAGAGCAAGAGGAAAUCGUGAAAAGAAGACCUUCUUCCCAGAAAGGUUUAACCUUCACCGAAAUUAAACAAAUGAAAUAUCUAUCCAAGGUUAGAAUUAAGAGUUAUAUGUUUAUCAAUCAUUUCCACUUGCAAAUAUGAAAUCAUUGUUGUAUAACCUUUUAGGUGAUUAAUGAGACACUACGAAUACGCACAAAUAUUUUUUCAAUCUUUCGAGAAGCAAAAAAUGUAACUUAUCUCAAUGGUUAGUUUCUCUAUAAUUUCACCAUAUCUUCUCCUGUCUCACAACCAGUUUUAGAGUUGCUUUUAAUAUGUUUUUUAAAGGCUUUUCUACCCUUUUCAACAGGAAGUAGUACCUGUCCUGGAGCUGACCUCAACUAUAAGUGAGUUUGGCUUAAUUUCUUUUUAGUAAUGUACAUUUUAGGUCACUGUGUAAGUUAAAAUCUUUUACUUUCAUAAUAUGCAGGCUUGUACAACUUAAUCCAGGAGGUCCUGUUAAUUAUUUCCCUUCACCAGAUCCAGUCGACAACUGUCCUACCAAAAUCAUUAAGAUCCGUUGAUUAUGUGUUACUACUUUAGUUCAUAAUAAAAAGGUUCCCAGCUUCUAAUUUCCAGUUUUAGUGUAGCUAACACAGUCUAUGCAAUAAAAAAGACAAACAUGUGUUCCGUUCUAGGUGCCAAUUUUAAAAUUCUGGUCUUACUCAAAGGAUUAUUGUUAAAUUUUUUAAGUUUUCUUAUUUCCAAAAUUUGAUUUGGUAAACAUAUUAUCAUGAGUAAACUGUAAAGCCAUGUCAACUUAUUAUUCCACAUGCAGUCAACCCUCUCUUUAACGGGAAAAGAUUGUAUGAAAUAGUGACGUCAUGUCAUCUGUAUCCCUUUUUCAAUAAUUUUAUGCUACAUCAGUAUUUUCAUCAAUCCAAAUUAAAAUCCUGAAAUUCAAGAUAAAAUUAAUGAUGUUGCAUAAAACUAUUGGAAAGGGGCAAUAUCUUUGUUUCAUACAAUCCUUUCUCUUCUAUAACAGCCACCAACUAUAACAAUAUUUCACUAUAAUAGUCAAGUCUUUUGGAGAACCGAUUUUUUUGUGUUUUAUUUUAAUUCUCUGUAAUAGAUUUUCACUUAUAACAACAAUAUCCAUAGUUAAGGAGUACAUUCUUUAUUAAAUUAGUUCUUUAUAACAAAAUAUUGUCUAAAUUUUUGAAUGAAAUUAUAUAUAGCUAUUUCAUAUAAGUAACCCCAUUAAUUAUCAUUUAUUAAAUGAAAAUGAUUUUAAUUAAAAUAUUUUUUCAAUAAAAUGAUUAAAUUUUAUGUAAAAAAAUCUAUUAAUCAUAUUUUAUUAAAUAAAAAUGAUCUUCACUGAGUGAAAUUAAAUAUAUUAAUUCAAUAAAACUAUUAAGCUCCUUAAUUAAAUAUUCUACUAUAAAUUUAGAACAUCAUAAACUUAGAUUACUUGAAUUUAAUUACUCGUGAUAAAUUAUUUAAUUUAAAUAACUCAUAUUGGUUAAUUGAACUUGUUAGAUUUAUGAACUUUAUAUUAAUCGUGUGACAGAAUGUAAAUAAAGAUACAUAAAAGCAAUAACGUAUGCACCUGUUAUACAUCUUUUAAAAUUUGUUGAUUUGAUUCUCAUUUUCUUUCUUUUAUGAACCUAAUUCCCAAUUUCUUUAUUUGGUGGAAAUUCAUUAUAUGAAUUUUAUAUUAAGUUUACAACGGUUAACUUUCUAUAAUAGUGUUGUCAUAGGUGUAUAGCAGCCAUCUCUCUAUAAUAGACAAAAUCUAAGUAAACAAAUACGAUUGUAUUACUCACUAAAAAUCCAAUCAAUAGUCUAAUAGCUCUCAUUUGCAUUAAGAUCGAAAUUUCAAAAUCCAAAAAGUAUAGUGACUUAGAAUAAUCAAAUUGGAUAAUAUGCACUAAAUCUACAAUUGUAUGCAUAAUAUAUGACUAGUAGAAUUAAGUAAAAGGACUUGCCCAUCUUUCUAAAUUAAAUAAAAUAGGUGUAUGAUAAGAUAAUCCACUUUCUUUAUUAUCUUACUUUAUUUUUAUUUUUUUAUUAUUCUAUUGUUCUUGUCUUUUAAUUUGAAUUUUUGAAUUUAAUAAAGAAAGAGUUUAUUAUAAAUUGUCGAAAUAUUCGAUUCAUUAGAAUCUGAUCCAAGAAAAAGGAUUAUUAGUAAAAAUAAGAUUUUUGAGAGAUAUAGAAAGAUGCAAAACUCUAUAUUUCUAUUCUAUUUUUUCUCUAUUUAAAUUAUAUAUACAUAUGCAAUAGAUGAAGAUAAAAUUCGUUUUAUUUAUCUCUCCAAUUUCGAAUUUCAUUUCCCAUAAAUAAAAAUUUAACCCCAUGUAAUGCAAUUUCCUAAAAGUAAUACAAGAAAAACACAAUGAUAUGCUACCAAACUCCUACAAGAUUUAAUUUGGAAAGUCAUUUUUAAAGUACAAUGUUGAUGUAAUAGGAAAAAGAUAUAUAUAUAUAUAUUGUAAGUGAAUGAGAUAAUAAAUAGGAGAAAGGUUAAUAUGUAUAAAGCAAAUUGUAAAGAUGGAAGCAGGAGAGUGAAGAAAAGUUAUUUAAUUCAUCUUCAAACUAUUUCUUAUGGGGAUCAAAGUUGUAGAACCAUUUCCACAAAUCAUAGAUUCCAAAAACUCCCAUAAAGAAGGAAAGAUUAAAAAAAAACAAAACCUAAAAUCUAACCCAGGCCUAGCUAUGUACCACCUGAGUUUCCUUGCCAUCCUUCAACUGGUAAGUGGACAUUAGGCUGCAUAUUGGGUGGCAAAUUGAAGAAAGGCAACCCACCUGGGACAGCACCGUCAUCGGUAAACAUGUUACCACCAUUGUUUCCGCCGCCGCCGCUGCUUUGCAUCUGCAUUUGGUCAUCAUCCUCUUCCAAAGGGAGUCUCUCAUAGGGCACAUUUGUAAACGACGAUGCUAUGAGAAUAACAGGUCCAGCCGCCAUCAGUUCCCCAACCACAUUUCCCCCAACAACCUGACCUUGCCCGCCGGCCAAAAAGAUUGUCAAACUGGUGGCGCCUGGAGGAGCUGGCGGCGGCAAAAACGAACCCGAAAGUGAUAAUAUUUCGAAUCUGCCAUGAAGGGUAACAACAGCUCCAGCGGUAGCUGGUUGCCUAAUGCUGACGUUGGUCACCGUACCACUCCCGCUCAGUAUACACGCUCCCCUUUGCCUUCUCCGAGCGUAGUUGGCAACACAGUCGAACACAUCGCAGCCGCUCCCAACUUCCAGUAAGUAAGCCCCGAGCGUGUUUGCACUCUCCCUAGUGACGAUGACCGGAGGUUUGGGCUUGUUUUUAGAACCUGGUGGACGACCCCUGAGCCUACGGGCUAUAACAAGCUCAGUGGGAACCGUUGACUAAAUCCAGAGCUUGGUGGGAAACAUCAUCAUCUUGGCCGUGACGAUUGUUUGAAACUUCGUGAUCUUCAGGUUCAGGUUGGUGAUGGAGGUGAAGGUCGGGUCUUUGAAGAUGUUGAACGUAGCGAGAAGCAGCAGUGCCUAAAUCAAGACCCGCCAUGCGAAAGCAACAAAGGACAGCCGUAAAAAAGGGAAAAUAAUGGAUUAAAAUAGUUUUUUUUUCUUAAAGAAAUUAUAUAUAAUAAAUCAAGAGUUAGAUUAAAGGGAAGGGCUUGUUUGGGGGCUCGAAGAAAUGAGGAGAGAAAGGUUUUAGUGCUUUUUUAUAUUAUUUUCAAAGAAAAUAUAAGACAAGGAGAAGGACUGCUAUGCAAGAAAAGGGAAAGAAACAAGGACGAAGAGAGGGAGGGGGGACUAAGUCUGAAAGGUUGCAAUCAUUUUCUCAUCCUUAAAGUUUAAAUAAUAUGAAAACCAAAAAUAGGUUGGAUGCAAGGUGGGAAAUCACAAAAUUUACUCAGGAGCUAGCUCGCGAGUUGCUUAUUGCGAUAUGUUAUUCUGUACCUGAUACCGAUCCAAAUUCAGAUCAUGCAUUGAAAAUCGUAGUUGGCGCAAAUGGCACUGUGGCUGCAAUCGACAAGGCUGAAAAAUAUAGGUCUGAACUGAUUUCGAUAUCCGAUACGUCUCCUGAUGCUCAAGUGCCUCCUGUUGUGCUUGGGAACCAUGGCGGUUAAAGGAGACAAAAUUGUAAUGGAUAUUUUAAUACAUACAGUGGCUGUUAAUGAUUUCUAGAACUGAACUUGUUGUAGUGUUGUGUGAUUUUUACACCUAAUGUGGAUUUGUUUCGCUUGUGAUUCUCUCCAUAUCAAUGUAAAUAAGGAAACAUACUUUUGUAGAGACCAUGUUGUGUUAAAAACUCAAAUUUCUGAACCUGAUAGUCUUCUCUGCUACCUGUUGCUUUUCAUCUUCGCACUCAAAUUUUGUUUAUUUUGUUAUUUGGUAACCAAAUUUCUUCUGUCUUCAGAUUCAUUCUUUUGUUAUUGACCAAAUUUAAACUCAAAAUUUCUUUAAUUUUCAAUAUCAUCCAUUGUGGUCCAGUGGUUAGGAUAUCUGGCUUUCACCCAGGAGACCCAGCUUCCAUUCUUCUGGCAAUAUGUUCUGUUUUAGUUAUCCAAAAAAUAGGGAUAAUAUCAUAUUUGGAACUUAUAUUUUCAUAAAAUGUUCAAUGGAAUUGUAAAUCAUGAGAUAUGAUAAAUUUUGUGAGACAAGGUCAGAAUGAUUUCGGGUUCCCCUGUUCUGACUUUGUAAAAUCAUCAAAAAAUGGAUAAAAAUAAUUAGGGACUUAAAUUUAUAUGUUUAGAAUUCUGAAUGAGUCUAUUUUCAAGAUAAACAAACGGGAACAUCAUUCAAAUCCUGUACGAGUAGAUAAUUAAUUUUUAGUGAAGAAGGGUCGGAACUGUCAGACAGCAGAACAUGGGAGACUUCAAUGAAUAAACUGUAUUAAUUGGCCAAACCAAAAAUUAUGAAAUUUUUAUGGUAAGAAUAUAUAUGAGUCUAGUUUCAUAGAAAAUUAGAAGAUCUUAAUUUUGAGUUCCGUAGCUCCAGAUAUAAAUAAUUUAGUGACUACGACACGGGUGGAUAGUCUGAAUAUUCACAUAAGUAAUUAGUGAAAAUUAUGGAUAAGGUUACUUACAAUUGCGUUAUUUAUACCAAGGAUGUGGAUGGAGAGGAGGAGGAGGAAAAAUAUAUGAAUGACUCGUGUAUAAAUUAAACACAUGCCCGAUUAUAAUCGAUAAGUGUUGGAUUAGAAAUGAUAUAAUGUUUUAUGUGGAAUAUUUAUUAUGAAAUUAUGAUUAUCGUUAUAAUACAAAAUUUGUACUUGUGAGUUUAUAUGGCUAAAUUUUAGUGAUUAUUUGUUAAUUUUAUGAAUUUCAUGAUGUGUUAUUUCAUAUGUAUUAAUGAUAAAAUCGUGAAUAAUGUAAAAGCAUGAAAAUUGAAUAAAUGAUCAAAUUGAGCAUUUCAGUUCAGUGACAAGAUGAAUUGAAGGAAAAGACCAUAGUUGGACCAUGGCAACAAGUGAUAAGUGAUAGCUUCGGCUACACUUAUCUGAUCAAGGAUAAGUGAAAGUGAUAAGUAAUAGCUUCGGCUACACUUAUCUGAUCAAGGACAAAUGACAAGUGAAAAGUGGUAGCUUCGGCUACCUGAUAAGUGAAAAGUGGUAGAUUCUGCUACCUGAUAAGUGAAAAGUGGUAGCUUCUGCUACCUGAUCAGUGAAAAAUGGUAGCUCCGACUACCUGAUCAAUGAAAAAUGGUAGCUCCGGCUACCUGAUCAGUGAAUAGUGGUAGCUUCGGCUACAAGUGACAAGUGAUUUCCGUAUAAGACCAUAUCUGGGAUAUGGCAUCGGUGUGAUAUAUGCUACUGUAUAAGACCAUAUAUGGGAUAUGGCAUCAGUGAGAUAUGUGAUUCGUGUAAGACCAUAGCUGGGUUAUGGCAUCGAUAUGUGAUAUGUGAUUACGUGUAAGAUCAUAGCUGGGCUAUGACAUCGAUAUAUGAAGAUGUGUAAGACCAUAGUUGAACUAUGACAUCGAGUAAACGAAGUACUCAAUUCCUUAAGACGUUCACUAAUUUGACAAAGUUUGGUCAGUGUUACAUGGAAUUAUGUGAUACAGGAAGUACGAGUUGAUAAGAUAUGAGUAUAGAACUUGGUUGAUAAAUGAAUUCAUUUGUGAUUAUAUAAUUGUUCAUCUUGAAUGUACUGUCCAUAUGUAUUGAUAAUUCAAACGUAUUAAUGAAUAAAGUUCUGACAUGGAAUAAAUUGAACACGAGACAAAUAAUUAUGAAAUUGAACUCGAAAUUCAUGAAAAUGAUGGUUAUUGAUAUAUGGAGACAUGAGACAUUGGUAUAUGAAUAUGGAAAAUAUUUGAUAAAUGUGUUUAUUCAUAAUUAUGGAAUUAUAUACCUCUUGUGUACUAUUUGCAUAAGGAUGAUAUUUCAAAUACUUUGGUUAUUUAAGCUUAAAUAUGAAACAGUAUGAAAUCAAGACAAGUUGUUAUAAAAAUAUAUUUAGAUUACAGAGAUAUGGCUGAUAUAUGUUGUAUGAUUACAUAACGUGAAAUUGUGUAUAUAUAUGAGAAAUUUAAUGAGAAAUGAGCCCAUACACGUUUCUUGUUAUUUAUAUGAAGUGUACGACUGACAAGGGUGAUGAAGUUAUAAACAGAGAGUUACACGGGCUGAAAACACGGGUGUGUGACUUUCCAAAGUGUGAAAAUUUUCUAACUGUUGCAAAAGUUUCAUAUGUUUACGGUUUGGUCCCGAACCACCCUGAAUGUAUGUUUUGGGCCCCAUAGGCCCAUAUAAGGGACGUUAAACAUAUGUAUGAAAGUUUUUAAUUUAAAAUAAAUUUUAUGGCUGAUUUUUACAUGAUUGAUCAUAUUAAGUUCGAUAAUGCCUCGUACCCUAUUCUAGGCUCGGAAUACUGGUAGGGGGUGUUACACAUAGGUGGAAAUUUUUCAAAAAAUAGGCUCACAUACCCGUGUGGCCCACACGGCUCAAAUAACCCAGCCCGUGUGACCUACACGGCUUACCACACAGCCGUGUGACGCCAACAGUAAGUUUUUUGUCAUUGCAUCGUUCACUAUUUUCGAGUUUUUCGUUACUUACCUGGAUAUUUUUUUAUGCCAAUCCAACAACAAGAUAUUCAAAACCUAAAAUCAGUAUUUAAACGACCAAUUUUAAUAACGCAAACCCCAAUUAAAAGUACUAAUUCAACCACAAUCGCUUAUAACGGACUAUAACAAGAGUGGAAAUCAACUUUAAACAUUCAAUCCCUCACCUAUAACAGCAAUCAAACGAUUACUUAAUCCGCUGAAGGAUUAUUCACUAGCGAAUGCUCACCUAGAUGGGAACAUAUAACAAAAAUCAAUUAAUUCAAAACAAAAUUGAUUCCAACCAACAAAACUUCACACCUCUUCCAACAGUUAGAAACCUUAUCGGAGCUCCAAAAUAUACCCGACCACCACGAUGAAAAUCUUAAAGAUAAAGAACGAAAAAUCAAAGGAUGGAAUCUUAAGGAACCACUAGCAAUUGGCAAUAUUGUGGCUUACUGCAUCAAAAGAAAGAAGGAAAGAGGAAGAGGAAACAAAAACUUGAAUGGAAAAAAAAUAGGUUGGGCAGCAAGGAUGGAAGAGAGGAAAAAGACCAUGUGAAACUGUUGAGGGAUUUUUGGGAAACAAAAAUAACAUAAAAUAAAAUAUUUUAUUAUUUAUAUAUAUUUUAAAAGAAGAAAAAUCUUUCAGAAACUACCAAGUUGACAUCUUACCACUAAACCAGCAAGCUCAUUUUUAUUAACAGUUGAACGAAAAUAAUAUUUAAGUUAGAAGUCCAAAGAUAAGGGUUGAAACAAAAUUAACAAAAUUAAUAAACAAAUGAUUCAAAUCUAGAACCUCACACACACUAACACAACACUUAACCACUAAACCAAAUUAUUUCACUUGAUAAAAUUUUCACAAUCUUAACUCAAAAAUCGAAACGUGAUCAAUCUCGAUUUCACUAAUCUAAUUUAUUCUAACUCAGUUUUCGAGAUGUGACACAACUUUUACGUUCUUCAAUUAUAUUAUUUUUUAAUAUUUUCACAACAAUGUUAUUUAUAACUUUUGAAUUUUAUAAUUAAAUCAUUCAUAAAUUUUAUAUUUUAUGUUAUUUACAAUUUUUAAUAUUUUCACAUUCUCAAUAUUUGAACAUCGCUUUUAAUAUUAAAAAUUAGAUAGGACACACCAUUAAUUAGUUUACAAAGUCAAACUAAAAACACCUUCUUUAAUUUUUUUUUAUUUUUUUAUUUUACUGACAGGUAUUUUUAUCCUUUUAUUUUAUAAUAUCAUGAAUUAAUUUAAGUACUUUAUUCUAAUUAUUGAUCUAUUUAAUAAUAUAAAAAUUAAUUUAAUACAUUUGUAUAAUACAAAGAUCUCUUAAAUACUUUCAACAAUGUAGGGCAUGCUACGAGCCGUAUUCAAAUUAAUCACUAAUUUACUCUCAUUAAUCACUAAACCCUCGCAUAGGUGCAGUCUAAUUGCUAAAGUGUCACAUAUCUUAGACCACACAUCCAUCUUAAUGUUUUUCAUAAAUUUUUUGUUCUUUUCUGGCUUUUUUUCUUAUAGAAAUAAACCUUAAAUGUGGGUUAUAUUUUGAAAAAUUGUGCAUGGUAAUUAUUAAAAAAAGUCAAUUAUUCAUUAAUUCAAUUAUUGUAAAAUCUUGAAUUAAUUUUAUUAGGGAUAAAUAUAAAAAAUAUUUUAAUCGAUAUGUAAUUUGAUACAUGAACUUUGAUUUUGUGUAAUUAUACACAUUAAACUUUUUUUUUGGUUUAAAUGUGUAUAUAAAAUUUUGAUUUUGAUUCAAUUAUACAUAUUUAAAGAAAUAAAUAUAUCAAUUUAUUUUUAUAUUAGAUAAUUUUAAUUAUUUUUGUUUGAAAUAUAUAAAUAUAAAAUAGUGUUAUAUCGCCAAUGAUGUUAGAUAUUUGUGAAUAUUGAAUCAAAUCAGGAUGUCAUGUAUAAAAUUACACAAAAUUAAAACUAAUGUAUAACAUUACACAUUAAACCAAAAUUUAUAUAUAAUUUUAAUAUUUAUCCCAUUUUGAAUGAAAAAUACAUAUAAUUUUGUAUUAAAAGAUCAAUAUAAUUAUUUUAACACUUGAUUUUUGAGUUUAAUAAAAAAAAUAGUUAAAUUUUAAAGAUGAUUGAGAGCAACUUUAUACUAUAAAUUUGAUCUCCUGUAAACAAAGAAACUCAAAGGCAAAUACUAGGGCGGAAAUAUAGAGAAUUAAAGAAAUGGUAUUAGUUUUCUUGUGGUUGAUUGUAGCAGUAAUUGUGGGAACAUUUGUUCUUUCAUUUGGAUUCCUUAAGAAACCAACUGGGCGGGACAGGAACCUGCAAAAUCCUAUUCUUCAAACUCAAAGGUAAAACGUAUAUUACUUAUUCUAAAAUAUUGGAAUUUUUUUUUAAUACAAGUGGGAUUAAAAUUAAAUUGUAUAUUUUUAUUAUAAUAAAAAUAUAAUUUUAUCAUUUUAAUAAUCUAAAUUUUUAUAUUUUUUAAAGGAUUAAAUUAAAUAGGGAACAACAGCUUAACUCUCUCCCUCCCGGUGGUAUGGGGUGGCCAUUGAUCAGGAACAUGUGGUCUUUUGUAAGAGCUUACAAAUCCCAGAUUCCAGAAUCCUUUAUCAACAAUUUGAAACGAAGGUUUAAGUCUCUACCGUAAUCAGGCUUCUUAAUAUUUUUAAAAAAAUCUAACAUGGAAGCAAUCCAGGUACGGUGAAACAGGGAUUUAUAAGACCAAUUUGUUUCGGAACCCAAGCAUCAUAGUUUGUAGUCCGGAGCUAUGUAGGAAGGUGUUGACAGAUGAUGAGCAAUUUCAACUUGGUUACCCUCUUUCAAGUCUAGUUCUGGAUGGAAUGCCAUCGGAUUACAUAUCGGGUUCGGGUCACAAGCGAUUUCACAGGCUAACAACGAGCAGUCUCACUCGAAACGAACCGCUCUCAUUGCAUAUAGGGAGUGUUGAAGAAAUUGUUACCAAUGCAUUGGAAGAAUGUAGUAAGAUGAAGGAACCAAUCCUUUUCUUCCAUGAGAUGAAUAAGAUUGCUUUCAAAGUCAUAAUGACCAUGUUCCUUGGCUAUGCAACUGACGAUACUGUUAUCGCAUCAAUGGAGAAGUCUUUUACAGAUUUAUUCUCUGGAUUAUUUUGCACUCCUAUUAACAUCCCUGGUUUUGCAUACCAUAAAGCAGUCAAGGCAAGGAAGAAGCUGGUGAAAGAGAUUCAAGGCGUAUUGGGUGAAAAGAGAGAGAGGAAACGUAAUGACCCAAACUCAAAGAUCGGCCUAAUUGAUGUUAUUAGGGAAGCUGAAGAUUCGAAAAGAGAAAAAUUGGAUGAAGAAUAUAUUAUUAUUAUAUUAGUGAUAUUCUUGAUUGCGGGUCGUGAAACUUCGGGACGUGCAGCUACAUGGGCCACCAUGUAUCUCCAUCAUCAUCCCCAUGUGUUGCAAAAGGCCAAGGUGAAUCGGGGUUUUAGUUUUUUUAGUGAAAUAAACCCAUGUUUUCAACUUUAUAUGGAUUUUAAAUUUCACAUCUUCCAGGAAGAGCAAGAGAAAAUCAUGAAAAGAAGGCCUUCUUCCCAGAAAGGUUUAACCCUCUCCGAAAUCAAACAAAUGAAAUAUCUAUCUCAGGUUAGAAUUAAGGUUUAUAUAUUCAUCAAUUCUUCCCACUUGCAAAUAUGAAAUCAAUGUUAUAUAACAUUUUAGGUGAUUGACGAAACAUUACGAAGACGGACCAAUGUUUUUGCACUAUUUCGAGAGGCAAAAAAUGAUACUCAUCUAAAUGGUUAGUUUCCCUAUGAUUAACUCUUAUUUUAUCAAAAAAAAAAAAAAAGCCUUGUUAUCAGGUUUAAUUGUUUACCCAUUUUUUUGUUGCCUCACAAUAUUUUUAAAAGAGUUGCUUUUAAUAUGUUUUUAAAGGGUACUUCAUACCAAAAGGUUGGAAAGUGUUGGUUUGGCAAAGUGCAGUUCAUAUGGAGCCUGAAAUUUAUCCCAACCCAAAAGAAUUCCUUCCUUCAAGAUGGGAUGUAAGUAAAAUGCAGAUUUUCCAUUAACCAUUGUUCAAUAAAUUUAAAUUACACGAGAAUACACAAAACAAUAGCUUCUUCUUUUUUUAAUCUGGGUUUUAAAUGUUUACAGGGUUUUAAACCCAAGGUAGGAGCUUUUCUACCCUUUGGAGCAGGAAGUAGUACUUGUCCUGGAGCUGGUCUAGCCAAACUUGUGAUCUCCAUUUUCCUUCAUUGUUUCAUCCGUAACUAUAAGUGGGUUUACUUAAAAAAAUUUCUUAUCAAAUUAUGCUUUUCAUCUCUAUACUGUAUUCAAUUUGGAAAUUUAGUUUUUAAUUUAGUACUUCAGUGUUAUAAUCAAAAUUGAUAGCAUAGUAGGAGGACAAAAUUAUAUCAAAUUAAAUUUCUAAAUUAAGUACAAUACAAAGAAAAGGAAACCAAAAUUUUACCUUUUUCUUUACAAUGAUUACAAUUUAAAAGGUUAAAAUGCAAGUUUUGUAAUAUGCAGGCUUGAACAACUUAAUCCAGGAGGCCCUGUUAAUUAUUUGCCUUGUUCACCAGAUCCAGCUGACAAUUGUCCUGCCGGAAUCAUUAAGAUCCGUUGAUUAUGCUCAGGAUUGUUACUAACUUCUACUUUAAUUUAUAGUUGUAAGGUUCCCUAGCAAAGACAACCCAUGUAAUAAAAAGGACAACUUGAUUCAGAUGUGUCUAUUUCUUUUCGAUGGUUAUAAACGGAAGAAUACAAAGUGACAGAUAAAGUUGAUUGUUGAAGUCCCCAUAUCAAUGUCAAGAAUGCAAGUUUCAACUUGAAGAAGCGCAUUUAUUAAAAGGCUUUCUAUUCCAUAUGGAUUAAUGUGGCUUGAGGACACCCAAGGUGUAAAAAAAUGACAAAAGUAUAGAUUUUUUUUUGUUCCAACUUUGCGUUUUGUAGGUAGACAUUUGCGAAUUUUAAAGUUACUCUAUUUAUAAGGCGAGGAUCGAAACCUUAAUCACUGAUUAAGAUAAAAGAGAUAUAGUUUUGUUUAAUUUAGUGUGAUAUAAGUAUACUAUGAAUUGAUUACACUUUAGAAUAAUUUUUAGAAAUUGUUUUUAAAAACUAUUAAAAAAUCUUUUGAAAAUUAUAUUAAAGUUGAAGUAGAGGAAUUUAAUAAAAUUUCUAAAACAAACAUUUGUAAUAUAUUUAAAGCAAUAAAUCUAUUAAAUAAGUAUUUAUGUGCUGAGGCUUUAAGACGAAGUUUAACCAAUUAAUCUUUUUCCUUAAAAUUUUUUGGUGUGAUAUUUUGAAAUUUUAAAAAAUUCACUUAAUAGUCAUCUAACAAUAAAGUUGAAAAUAUUAAUUAUAGUUUUUUUUCUUAAAAACACUCAUUCAAAAUUAUCAUGAUAAUUUUUUUUUUUUGUGUUUUGACUGAAAUAGUUAACUAUUUAGACUAACUAAUGACCUUAAAAAGAUAGAGAAUCAAGUUAUGUCAAAAAUUAAAGUAAAUAGAUUAGAUCUCAAGUUUUAACAUAAUUUAGGGCUAAAUUAAAAUUUCACCAUUGUCUUAUAAUAUAAAAAAAGCAACGCAAACUCAAAACAAAUAAGAAGCCACAUGACUAUUUCUAAGACUCUUAGGGUAUUUAAAUUAUAUAUAAUCAUAUGAUGCUCUAAUUGAAAAGUUAAUGAUAUUAAUUAUUUAGAUUGAUUAAUAACAUUAUAAAAAUAUAGGGAUCAAAUUAUCUUAGAAAUUAAAAAUAAAAACAUAGAUUAAAUCUCAAAUUUAAUCAUAUUAAAAGGGCCAAAAUAAUAUUUAACUGUUUUUUCUAAAAUGUAAAAAAAAAAAGAUGAAUAUGCCAUGUGUUCCUAAUUAAAUUAAUAAUUAAACUAGUUUUUUAUCUUGUGCAAUGCAUGAAUUGAUUGUGUAUAAAUUAAAGUAUAUUUAAUAAUUUUGAAAAUUUUUUAAUGAAGUUUAUAAAAUUCCUUUAAAAAUUCAAAUUUUUAUUUCAAUGAAAAUUUUAUUUAAAUAUAAUAGAAUAAAAAAUAUAUUUAAUUUGUAUACAUAUUAUAUUAACAAAUUGUAACGUGUUUUAACCACUUUUCAAACAUUUAUGUAAACUUUUAUAAAAAUUGAAAAAAUAAGAUUGUUUUAAAUAAUUUGUUUUAAGAUAUGUAUGUUAAACUGUUUUUUAAAAAAAUUGUUUGAAAUUAAAAAAAAAUUGUUAUGUAAAUAUUUUUAAAUUUUAAUUUUAAAAAUUUUAAAAUAUUAUAUAUGAAAUAAUUAUUUGCACAUAAUUUGUAAUAUUGGUUAAAAAUAACUUUAUUUUUUGAAAAUAAAGAUAAGAUAAUUUAUAAAUUAACGGUAUUAAUUUAGCUUAGAAAGUUAAAAAAAUGGUAUAUUUUGCUAAACCAAUAGUAAUAUUUCAUUGUUUUUGGGAUAAAAAUGUAUUAUAAUAAAACGUUAAAAUUAAUUCACUGUAGUUUUUUGGUAAACUUUUUUUAUUAAAUGUUUGUCGGUAUGGAUUUUUUUGGCAAAACGUUCAAUAAAAGGUAAUAUAACGAAUUAAAACGAAAAUUUUUUAAAAAAUUAGCAAAAAUAUUAAAUAUAAUUUGCAAAUUAAAAAUGUAGUUAAAGUUGUAAAUUGAAUACUAAUUGGCAGACCUAUGAAACUAAUUCGUAGACCUAUGAACCUAUAAUAUAUAACACGAGCUAAUAGUGUUUGUUAAUGUAAUUAUUUUUAAAAAGAAAUAAAAAAAUAGUGUAAAUUUAACGUCAACAUAAAAAAAUCAAUAAAUAUAUUAACUGUAUAUAAAUAAAAUUAUAAUAAAUAGAAAUACCAAUUGUUAAAAUAAUUCGAAAAAUUUUGAAUUUGAAAUAUUAAAAUUAUUAUAAUAAAUAGAUAUACUCAUUUUUUAUUAUAAAUUUUUUACUAACAAAAAUAUUAAAUUAUGACGAAUAAUUAUAAUUAAAAUUAAAAUUAAAAAAUGAAUUUUAAUUAUAAAAAUAAUAAUAAGAUUAAUUUAAAAUUAUAAUAUAUGCAUAAUAAUUAAAUUAUGUUUAAUGUAAAUUAUCUAAUAUGAUUUAAAAAGAUAAGAAGUAAAAGAGUAGUUUAUCUAAAGUGAAAGUAAGCGCUUAAAAUGAGGAGUAUUAUUUGUUUAUUUAGAAUUUGUAAUAUAUAAUAUUAAUUGUUUAUCCCGUGCGAUACACGAAUUGAUUAUGUGUAUUAAAUUUUUUUUAUUUAAAUAAAAUGUAAAAUUACUUAAAUUUAAUAUACAAAACAUAAUUAUUUGUAUUAUGCUUAAAAUAUUGUUUAUAUAGAUUUUUAAUUUAAAAUAAUUGUGGAAAAAAAAUGUAAAAAGGAUAAGAAGCAGGUUUGGCAGGCUUUGGUAUGAGCAGCCGGCUUCAAUUAAUCACUAAUGCCUAACGCGUUAAUUAUGAGAGCUGAUACGUCAAAAACAGAUUAAAAACAUUAAGCAAAUUGGGGAAUUAUCCAACCAAAAAACACCAAGUCCAAAGUCAACAAUAAUUACGACCCCAUCCUUACAACCCUAAACUCUAAAUUUCCUCUUUAAAUCCUUAAAAUUCAACCUUUUGAAGAAUACCCCUUAUUUAGGGAUGUUAUUUAGUAUUGGAGUCUACCCAUGGCGCACGGUUGAGCCAUAAAAGCACUGCAAAUACCUAAAACUCUCUCUAUAUCUAUAUUUACUAUUAUUUAAACUCUUGAUUGAGUUAGUGUCAUCCUCAAUCAAGUUAUCAACACGGUUAGAAUAAUUACAAAAAAUGUCAUUCUAUUAUAUAAUUACGUUAUAUUAUUUGAAGGUACUUUAAUUUUUUUAUUAAAAAAUAUGCAUAUUUUUGUAUAUUUUAAUUUUAUUAUGCACACUUUAUUACUUUCAUCAACUGUAUACCUAUGUUAUGAUUUAAGUUUCUGAUUAAGUUGGUGUCACCCUCAAUUGGGUCACCAAUUCAAUUAGAAAAAUUAUAAAAAUGCCCUUUCACAUUUAAAAUAAGUUUUAUUAUUCGAUGGUACUUUAGUCUUUUUAAUUUAAAAAUAAUAAUAAUAAAAAUAUGUUUAUGGUGGGAUUUGAACUUGAACUAAUUGCAUUAGUAAAACCUUUAACUCAACGUCGACUUGAGAUUGAUCGAUACUGACUCAUAAACAAAUUAAUCUAUUUUUUUAAAAUUUUAAUAUCGUACAUAUUUCGUGUAUCACUAUUAAAUAGUUUCCAGGUACAUGUUUCAUUCUUUAUUAUAAGUUAUUUUUAGAAACACGUUUAUGUUCUAUAUUUGUGAUUUUCAAACCUAUAAAUGUGUGAUAAGAUUUCAAGUAUAAAUUAAAUACUUCAAUUUUGAUCUUUGGUAAUCAUAUUGAAUAUUUAUUUAAUGCAAAAUUUUCAAUAAAAACAUAUGAAUAAGAUAAAUAUGUAAAUAACUACUUAUUAGACCUAAAAAAGAUAAAUUUGACUUUAUUUUAUUUUUUAAAAACUUACAUAAAUAAUCUAUCUCUUUAUUUAAAAAAAUUAAAUAUUUAAUUUUAUCUAAAAACAUAAAGAUAUUAUAUUAAAAAUAAGAUUAUUCUAUAAAAAAUUAAAAUUAUGAAAAAAUAAAAUUUCAAAGUAGAGAUUUACUAUUAUAUAAACAACAUAAUUAUACUUGAAAUUUCAUUAUUACUAGUGUAUCAAAUAAUUUUAUAAUAUAACUAAUUUUCCUUAUUUAUUUAUACAUAUGUUUUAAUUAAAUUACAUUUAAAUAUUUCUUAAAUUUUUCCCUAAAUUUUAUAACGUGUCAUUAAUAAUAAGAUAAGGAAAUUAAGAUAUAAUAAUAUAUAAUUUUAAUUUAAUAAAACAUGCUAAUUGAUAUUAGAUUAAAUUUAAAUAAACAACAUUUUGAAAUUAUUUUUAUAAUGUAAAUAUAAGAGUAGAUUGUGUGAAAUUCUAUUUUUAUAUAUAGUUUCAAACUUAAUUUUAAUUAGUAAUUAGUAAAUAUAGGUUUUUAAUUAAAUUAAAAUAUUAUGACCACUAAAUAAUUUAAUAUAACAUUUUUAUAUUUUUAAAUAUCUAUUUUUAUACAUAUAAUUGUACAAAAUUGAAAAUUUAUAUAUAUCAAAGUUAUAUAUAUAAUUUUAAUAUUUAUGGGUGCAUUUAAUUAUGAGUUUUGUACUAUAAAUCAGAGCUCCUAUACUUGAAAACCCAAAACACAGAGAAGUGAAGAAAUGGAGUUAGAUUUGUGGAGUAUUGCUAUAAUUGUGGUAACAUUUGCUGUUUCAUUUGGAUUCCUUAAGAAAGCUUAUGAGAGGUAAAUCCUUCCAUAGUUUUGGUUUCCAGUUAUUUUUUGUUUCAAUUUUUUUAUUCCUAUAAUUCAUCUUUCUAAUUUAAUUAAACUUAAACAAAUUAUUUGAGGGAUUCUUUUUAAUAUAUUUUUUGACAUGUUGAUAAAUUUAGUCCUUAAUAUUUUCAUUUUUUUGUCAAAUUAGCCUUUAUUUUUUUAGCUAAAUUUAACAUUAACCUUUCAAAAAGAGUCAAAUUAUUUUUCUUUAACAGAAGUGCUGGCUAAAAUAUUAAUUUUUUAACGACGUUGGUGUGAAAACCCGUGUGGUGGUCUACGUGUACUUUAUGCUAACACGAUAUUAUUUGUUUUAUAUGUCACGUCAAUAAAUAAUUUAAAAUUGUAACAAUAUUAAAAAUUAAAAAUUAAAAAAAUAGCACGAGGUACAUGUGGACUGUCAUAUGCUUAAAUAUUUAGCAUUUUAGUUAGUAUUUUUGUUAAAAAAAUCAAUUUGACUCUAUCUUAAAAAGUUAAUGGUCAAAUUUGACUUUUUUUAAAAGGUUGAGGAGCAAAUUUAACUCAAAAAAGGAAUAAAGGCCAAAUUGAAAAAAAAUGUAAACAUUAUCAGUUUCAAAUUAUUUGAUAAAUUUAACUUAUUCUUUUUAUCAUUGUUAUCAAAUAUACAAUUCUUACAAUUUUUUAUAUAUAGAUAAUAAAAAAAAAUCUUACAUUUAGUAAUGUUAUUGUAGAGGCCCAAAUUUACCCAGAGCUCAACAACCAAAAAAAUAAUAAUUAAACAGUCCACGUACAUCAGCCCAAAUAAAAACUAAAUAGACCUAAACCCAACUAAGCCCACUACCCAGACCAACCCUAUAGCCCACAACCUAAACAUCCCAUCAGCUGAGCAAAAAACCCUAGUCCCAUGUGCGCCGCACCCCUCCACUGGCCAGGCCUGUAGCAUGCCACCGUCCCAUCGCCUGCACCUCCAAAGAUUUGCAAACACGCAACAAAAAGAAAGCAAGACAGACGCAGAUGACAGCAUAAACAGUAGCAAAUAAUAGCAAAGACCAAGUGCAAUAUUAGGCUAUAAAAGCCUCGAAAAAUCGUUGUAAAAAAAGGAGGGUUUUGAAAAAAAAUCAAGAGAUUGUGAAUGUAAGAUCAGUGUUUUCAAACAUAUAUUUGAAUAUAAAAAAAACAGCAAGCAUUGAAGGAAAAAAAAAAGAUUCAAAGUGCCAAAGUCCCCAUUUCUUUUUUCUUUUAUUUUCAUUUUUUGACUACACAUACAUACAUGUUUUCUCUAUUUUUUUAAAAAAAUAGUAUAUAUAUUUUUAUAUAUAAAUGUAGCAAAAAAUUACCUUUUUUCGAUUUUCGGCCACCGUGUAUGGUGGUCUGCGUGGCGGACGAUGACCGGUCCGGCGACUGGAGCCCUAUUGGCUGGAGUGGGGAAAGGGUGAGAGAAUUUGAGAGUGAGGGUUAAUUUUUUUUUGAAAUGGGGAAAAUGAAUUUUUUUGAUGAAAAUUUGACUUUUAUAGCCCAUCCAAACGACGUCGUUUUAGGCUUAAGUCACUAACGCCAAAACGGCGUAGUUUUGGCAUGAAACGGGUCGACCCGAUCCGCCUAGCCAAGGUCCGCGUGUUUCUUAAGCGGAAGGGAUAUUUGCGCUGAAAGUCCUUCUGCUUUUCUACAUGUUUUAAUUAGAUUUUUUAUUAUUGUUUUUCUUUUAAUUUGGCGUAAUUAUUUCCAUUCUAUUUCAUUUUAAUCCUGCAUAAGGUGCAGCGUUUUGAAGGGUGGGAUAUUAUCUCCUUUAAUCCCUCCUUGUUAUUCGCGCAUUCGAUGUGGUCCAUUUCUUUCUUUAUUUAUUUCGAAUUUGCCCCGAAUAUUUGUUUUAAAUUCAAUUUAGUCCUCUUUUUAGCUAUUUGGCGAUUUUAUUUAUUUUCUCUUUUACUAUUAUUUAUUAUCAUUCUUAUUAUUACCAUCAUUAUUAUUAUUAUUAUUAUUUUCUUUUACCAUUCUUAUUACUACUUUUGUCAUUAUUCUAUUCACUGUUGUUAUUGUUAUUAUUAUAUUAUUACUAUUAUUAUUAGCAUAGUAUUAAACUAAUUCAUUUUGUAUUGUCUUUAUUACACCAUAUAUUAUUCUGUUUUUACUUACUAUUAUUGUAAACGGGCCAAUUUGCCCGGGCCCACGUCAGAACCAAAGUCCAAUAAUAAAAUAUAUAUAUAUAAAACCAUAAUUAAGUAAAUGUACAUUUACAAAUCUAGCCCAAAUACAAGACCAAAAAUUUUAAAUCAUAGCGGCCCAGUUUACAGUCCAAUUACAAAAAUUACGGCCCAACUGCAAGAAUAGGCCCAAAAAGCCCAAAAUGUCAACAUUUCAGAAACCCUAGGGCUCUCUUCCACUUUGCGCCGCAGCCGAGCCCCCAAGCGCCUCCGUACACUCCAACCUCUAGUAACCACGCCAAGCCUUCAGCACCGUACGGCCAGUGCGCGGCCCUCGUACGCUAUGGCCGCACCUCCGUACGAUGCCAACGCAUUCCGUACCUGCACACCAAACACAAAGAGACAACAGACCCAAGAAAAUAGCAGAAAAAUUGUAUAUUUUUAUUAUUUUCUUCUCUCGACUAUAAAGCAUUGUAUUUUUUUUCGAUUGUGGGGCUUCGUUUUUACGAACACAAGCACAUUUUUGCAUACUGAAUACAAAGAAAAGAAAUCAAAACCUUGAAAAGGUGAUUAUUCGGCUUUGGCCUUUCUUUCCCGUUUGUUUUCAUCUUCUUUUCUUAUUUUUUGGUUGCACAUACUGUCAUUUCGAGCAUAAAAAUGGGUAAAAGGGAGCGAGGGGGUUACCUAUAUGAACAAACUGCCGGAAUCCUCGUCUCCUUCGCUUUAAUUGAAGUCAGGACGGGGUGUAAGGUCUGAAAUCGGAAGUCCUUAAAGCAAUGGCCCAAGCAGGGUCAGCGAGAGUACAAAUCUCCCUCCGUCGAUCACCGUUCGGGGUGGUCAAGUGGCGGCUAGGACCUCUUGAGAUUCGAACAAAGGAGGAGGAUUAGGUUUCGGCUGAAGAGUAAGGAUUGGAGGGCUAGGGUUU
rnacentral:lncRNA from 1 species